rnacentral:lncRNA from 1 species
UAAAUUUAUUAAUUCUCAAAAAUCAACUAUUAUUCAAAUACUCGGAUGGACUAUUAACUGACUUCAGAAUACAUUAUAUACAAUAGGAUUGCUCAACUAUCAUGUUUAAUCACAUCAUGAGCGAAAAGAAAUAGUAGCAGAGAGAUUAGAGAAGAAGAAGAAGCCAAUAAGCAAUAUGAGCUGAACUUCGUAUACUAUACUACAAACUACCAUAAUAACUACGUCUCAAUUCUAAAUUUAUUGGUACCGGCCGCUUAUAUGAAUUCUCACAGUUUCAUGAUAAUUAAAAAAAAAGGCUAAAAGGUUAGCCGGUCAAUAAGAUCUUUGAGAUUGAUGAGCCAACUAAAUUGGUUUGGCUAUUCUUUUCUAUUGAAAAGAAGUCACGUGUUUGCGCGAGUCGCCUUCUUCUAGGCUCCAUUGGACAACAACUUUUAUCCCAAGAAAACUCUCUGCAUCUUAAAAUCCAACAUAGGGAGUUGGAAGAAUGGAUUGUGUUGAAGGGGAUGACGGAGAAUUAGAAUUGUCUUUAGAAAUAACAAUACCAACUGUAUCUACAACCACAGCCACAAACUCUAUCGCCAUUUUCACCAUCUCUAUGCAUAUCUCUAACCUCUGAAUCACCAUUAUCAAGUCUCCGCGUAUUUUUCUUGGUAUAAUAAACAGGCUUUUCUCUUUAUAUAUAUAAGUACAAGAAACUCCUCCAAGUUUUUAGAAAACAAAGAAGCUUUUGUUAAUCUGGCCUUUGGAAAACCCCAAGGGACACAACAAGAAAAUUGGAAUAGUUUCAAACCUUGUGAAUGAGACACUUUGGCAACCUUAUCCAUUUAUUGCAUGGCCAUUAAAAUAAGAAAUUAAUUGACCAUUGUGGCCAUCGCAAGGACACGAGACAAGUGGCCUUUCUUUUAUUGCAUGUAGUAGCCAUACACGCAUCAACGUUUUGGGAUUUCUUAAUAUGUAACUUAAUAUGCCUUUGAUUUGUGAUUAAUUAGGAAUGGGUUCGUUCACUUUGUGGAAUAUUCCAUUAGUUUGAUUUUGCUUACAAGAAUAAUUCCCUACCUAAUCUUAAACUUUAAUCUGCUUGUUGCCAUUAAAUAGUGGGAAAAAUGAUACUGUAUAGUCGUUAUAGAAAUAAUAACCGAAAAUAUAUAUAUAUAUAUAUAUAUAUAUAUAUAUAUAGAUAUAUAUAUGCACUCUUUGUUAAUCUGGCCUUUGGAAAACCCCAAGGGACACAACAAGAAAAUUGGAAUAGUUUCAAACCUUGUGAAUGAGACACUUUGGCAACCUUAUCCAUUUAUUGCAUGGCCAUUAAAAUAAGAAAUUAAUUGACCAUUGUGGCCAUCGCAAGGACACGAGACAAGUGGCCUUUCUUUUAUUGCAUGUAGUAGCCAUACACGCAUCAACGUUUUGGGAUUUCUUAAUAUGUAACUUAAUAUGCCUUUGAUUUGUGAUUAAUUAGGAAUGGGUUCGUUCACUUUGUGGAAUAUUCCAUUAGUUUGAUUUUGCUUACAAGAAUAAUUCCCUACCUAAUCUUAAACUUUAAUCUGCUUGUUGCCAUUAAAUAGUGGGAAAAAUGAUACUGUAUAGUCGUUAUAGAAAUAAUAACCGAAAAUAUAUAUAUAUAUAUAUAUAUAUAUAUAUAUAUAUAUAUGCACUCUGUAUGUUAUAUAUAAAAAUUAUAUAAAUUUUAUACAUUUGUUUUACUAUUAAAUGUAAAUAGUUUAUGACACAUAGUAAAAGUAAUAUUCCUCAUUAGUAUUUAUUGAUUGAUGAACUUUCUAGGUAAAUAUGAAUUCUCAUAAGACAAAUGUUUGGAACAAAAAAGGUUCGCGUUAAGCAAUAUAGUAAUAAUGUAUUACUCUAUGGUCAUAGUAGUACUCCCUCUUAUCAUAUUAAUCUAUUCUCACCAUAUUUAUUUAAAUAAUUUCUACAUUUGAUGUUGAUUGUGUUUGGCAAACGCUUGAACGCAUGAUCUAUGUGUUUAUACUUUUCGUUGAACAAUUCCUGUUUUAAUUAAGUAAUCAGUCUGCAUGUAAUUUUUGACCCACAAAAAUUUUAAAGUUAGUUUUAGUAUUUUAAUAAUAUUUAUUUGGGUUAUUAGUUUUAGUAUUUUAAAAAUAUUUACUUGGGUUAUUGUACAAUAUUAGUCUCUUUUACUUUUAGUUUAAAAUCAAAAAUUUAAAAACACAAAAAUAUUUUUAAUUUGCCUUAUUUUAUAUAUGUUUGUUUUUGUUUUUAUUUAUAUUCAUCAGUAUAGUUAUACUAAUACUAUCAUAAGUCUUCCAUGAUUUUUAUAUUCCUAUUUUUAGUAUAAUUUUUAAAAAUAUAAAAAUAAUUUUAUUUUAAUUUGAUUUCAGUUAAAAUCAAUUGUUAAUUAUAUUUUAUUAUUUGUGUUACUUUUAUUUUUAUCUCUCGAAAAGAAAAAUGAAUCUUGGGUCAAUCUUGUAUCUUUAAAGGUCCAAUUUUAGGCUCAAAUUUCCCAGGCCCACAACCCGUCAGAUUUUUUGAACCUUAAAGAGCUAACCUUAGACUUCAUCUUCUUCCUCAACCAUAAGAGAACAAGACAAGGAGAUAUGGAGUUAACCCUAAUUACUUAGUCUUUUUCUUCACCUUGACAAAAACCCCAGGAACUGAACCUAGAAGAACAACCGCCGCCCCCAGCCUUAACUCGUCGGAAACCAGCCGCCGCCGCUUCUUCCUUCGUCUCCACCUUCAGCACAACAAAACCUAACCUCCAAAAACCCUAAUCCUCUAAGUAGCCGCCCACCAUAGCGAAACCCUAAGAGCCCAGCAGCCGUCUUUUUCUUCGGCCUCACUGGCGCAACAACUGAACCCUAUCCCCCUUAACCAAAACUGCCGGACCAUCUCAACUCACACCCGCCGCCCCAGCCUCUAACCAGCCAGACCUGUUUCCAGAACCAGCCGCCAGCCUUAACCCGCCGACCAACUGACCCCAACCAGUGACCCCUCACACCAAACAACACACCACCCGUCCUCCUCCACAUGCCACUGCUCCUCCCCUCACACUCUCCUCUCACCCAUCGAUAUCAACACACACACAGUAACAUACAGUAGAGAGUGACGAGAGGAAAAGUUUAGUUCAAAUUCAAUUUCGUCGUUGUCUGUCGCUUUUGGUCUUAGUUAUUUUAUCGAGCUGAACCGUUCUUCUUGAGGUUGUCGAUUAAGGUUUCCGGUGCGAGGAUUUAACAUUCAGUUGAGUUUGUUUUAAUCUUCUUUGUCGUGACUCGGGAAAUCUCGUUUAAUCAAUUUUCGCAUCAUUUUUGGGUUAUUUUAAGCAUGAUUUGUGGUUGUUCAUUAUUAUUGUUGCUAUUGCAAAGUUGUUGGAUUCCAUUUUCAAGUUUCUUAAGCUAUAUUUGGGCGAGUUAUGUUGGUUUCAAACUGUCGAGCGCUGCUAUCCCGUUUGGAAAUUGUUUAGUUGAGCCUUAUCAUUUUUUUGCUUAAGAGCUUUGCCAUCAAGCUCGUAUUGGAAUUUUAGUUGGAGUGUGCUUGGAUUUGUUGACUCGUGUUGGUUCCGGUUCGAGUUCAAGGAUUACGAUCAGCUUAGAUCAAAUUAACGCCGAAAAGGUUCUCGCGCUCGUUGAGGUUCAACUCUUCAGCCUUUACUCAUUUUAUCUAGCUGAAUGUUAAUUGCUUGUUUGGUGAUUUGAUUCUAGGAUUUGUUUAGCUAUUGUUUCCGAUUAUGAGUUUGUUCAUUUAGUUAUCUGUUCAUGUUUACUCGAAUUGGUUAUAAUUGAAUAUGAUUUUAUCACUUUAUAACUUGGGUUGUUGGAUAAAAAGUAAAAGAAAUUUAGGUUCAAAAUAGUAAUAUUACCCUUUUAUUCUUGUUUUAUUUAUUUUGAAGUCGUCAGGAGCAUUCUUAGGCCGUCAUCACUUGGGUAGGCAAGCCUUAGGAUUUUUGGUUGUUUCGCAGCGAGAGGUUGUUCCUUUAGUUAAUUUUAUCGGGGGAAUUCCCUGAAGGAUUUGUAUAUAUUUUUAUCGAGGGUAUGCCCCAAAGUACUUGUAUUUGGAGGCCUAAAGUGGAACUCAUGGUAUUUUUAUUUUAUUUUUAUUUUUAUUUUUCUUUCAUUAGACGGGAACGACCUCGAGCCUCCUUCGUGUUUGGUUUCCCCUUUUCAGUGUUUAUUACCUUAAUUAAAUAUUUUAGAGCCAACUAGAUCGAAUACGCAACCGGACUAGUUACGGGAUUUGGGAGUGCCACUAACCAACCGAGUCAGAUGAAUUCCCUUACCCGAAUCACAGGUGCAGACUUAGUUUUGGAGUCUCAAGUGGUUUUGAAAGGAAAAAAAUUAUUUUUUUAAAAAAAACGGUGAUCUGACACACCAAAAUCAAAUGUCAGGUGGCGACUAUGAGUUUAUUUCCUUUUGAACAUAAUUUUUGUCACUUUCAAAAUCGAAAAACUCUUUAAAUCUUUACUUAAUCUUUUUUAUUUAUUAAGAGGGUUAAGUGAAGCUGGUUAGAAAGAGGGUGUGACAUCUUUGGUGACUUUGCUGGGAAAUUACAGGUUCGAACUAGUACUUGAUCUUAUUGGAUUUUUAGGAUAUUCGGUUGAGGUUCGUAUGUGUUUAGUUUACUUAUUUGAAUUUAUUUUGUUUAUGUCAUUUAUUAUUUGCUAGUCGCUUAUUUAUUCACAGUUUCUCCUUAUGUUUUAUUGCUUUAUAAACUGUCAUCAUUUGUAUAACUAUGGGUCUUCUUUCUGCAACAAGUCUCGGAUUACACAUCACGUUCACGAACUCUUCGUUGAGUCACCCUUAAUUUAGGAGGGGGAUCCGUCGGACGUAUGGAGCGAGUGAAAAUCUUGAGCAGCCAUCAUCGACCAUACGCUCCCCCGAAUUUCCUUGUUAGUGAACCCCAAACUUAGGUUAGCCUUUAGGUCAUUUUUAUUUGCAUCAUGCCAUUUAUACCUAGUAGGGCUCGGUCUCAUGCACCGUGUCUCUUUCUAAGAAGCCUAUCCAAAUUUUAUCAAAAUGGGCCCGUGGCCCAAAAAGACAUUCAAUCAUCCCUAUGUGAUACGUGUUGCAUCUGUGAGGAUAGAAAAGGUCAUUUGAUGGACUGAUGCUUUGGAAAGAAGGGUGAAAAACGAAGCAAGUAGGGCCUAGUUAUAUUCUUUGUACUACUUUUUCAAAAAAAAAAAGACAAAAAAAAAUGAAAAAUCCAAAUAGAGAUUUUACCCUCUUCCAUUAUUUUCUAAAAAUCCAAAAAAAUAAAAAAAUAAAAUCUAAAAAGAUUUUACUCUUUGCCAUUAUAUUCCAAAAAUUCAAAAAAAAAGUGCAAAGAAACCAAAAUGAUUUUAUAUUUUUCAAAAAAUCAAAAAAAAAAAAACAAGGAGAAAAAGAAAAUUUUAAAAGAUUUUACGUUUUUCAUCAUUUUUCAAAAAGACAAAAAUAUAGUCUUUUUCAAAUUAGUUGCAUCUUCCCGAACUAUGUAAACCUGAUUCUCGUCUCUCGGGGCGAGAUAUGUAAGGAAAACCACAUAGGAUCCGAUCUUCCUAGUGAGUCUUAGGUUCUUGGCUUCGCAGGGUCUUAGGCAAAUCUUGCAUGCCUCUUUUGGCCAUUCUUGCGAAAUGAGGUUAUUUUUGCAAAAGUGGUUCAAUUACCCUUAUCUUAGGAUCUUAAUUCCAAAACUAGGUGUCAUAUUACUUUAAAGUCUGUCCUUUUUGAGUUUGCAUCUUUAGCCACUUCUGGCCAUAUCAGCCAUUUCGCGAAACUGAUCAUUUCUGCAAAUUAAGUUUUUGGGCCAUAAAUUGCGAGUUGAAUCCAUAUAGCGUUAGUAAGGUAUUUUCAUAUCUGAGUAGUCACCUUUGUUGAUUUUGCACUUAUAGCACUCUUGGCUACGUAGGUUAAUUUUUAAAAAUGGCCCAAUUGUGUCUCGCAUGUGUCCAACAAGAGGUGUUGUGGUGUCGCAUAGUGUCCCGAUUCACUAAUAUAUUUGGUCUUAUUUUUCUCAUUCAGGUAUGAAUUCCAUUUACCAUAACUCGAGUGUAACAGAUACCUCUGCUUAAGGAGCCUUUUUAUAUUUUGAGUCUGUUUUCAUGUUUUCUCUUACUUGUCUUGUGCAGUAGUAUUUAGUCAUGUAGUUGGUGUUAGAGUUGUCGUAGUAUAGUUUAGUUUGUUGGGUCUCUCAUUAUCGUACCUCUUUUUUUGCAUUUGAAAAUCUAACAAAAAUUAUUGAAUGAAAAUUCCCAAAAGAUUUUGUUUCUUAGUUUAUUUAUCCAUUAUUUUUUCAGAACUACUAUUGAUCUGAUUCAUGAGGGACAUGAUAAAUAAGCAACCUACAUAGGGUUCGACCGAAUUAUAUUUUUUUUUAAAAAGAUGAAAUUGGGGAUGUGAGAAGUGAGAGGAAAGAAAAGAGGGGGAAAUAAAUGAAAAGCCAAUGGUGUUAGAAAGGAAAAUGAAGAAGGAAAUAGGGCAAGAAGAGUGAAAUUGGGAUGAUGACAUAUGACCUUCGUACCCUCGAAGCCAUUUUAGAACUGUUAACUGUGACUAGGGGCAUCACACGCAAUGUGAUAUUUCUAUUUGAUAAAUGCUCUAACGCUAACACGUUGGCUUAGUUUGCUCCUCUUUGUUACUUUCAUUGUUAUUAUAACAGAGGGCGGUUAGUUUGUGGCACUUUGGUGAUUCAUCCAUACAACACCAAAAAGCAUAAGUUAGUCAUGGCUAGCAAUGAAACAGACAUUAAGAUUGUACACCCACCAAGGGAGAUUGUAGAAUCAGAAUUGAAACUGAAAGAGGAGGUCCGAAGGUUGAAAUAACAGAUGUCAGGAAUGUACCAGUCUUGGGUCGGGGACAUCCUCCACUUUCAUUCCCCACUAACUACACUGAAAACCCUACAACUAUCCCGCCACUAUCACAAGCUCAGGUUACCACUACCGAUGAACUUUCCCCUCAAAAUGCACCGGACUUUACCCCUUACCACAAUUACCUUGGAACUUCCCCCCAAACUUUCCAUGCUCCACCAUCCAAAACAACCGCAUUUCCAGCUCUAGAUACCUAAUAUUAUGCCCCGGAACCCACCUUCAAAGUCCCAGAUCCUUACUCCUACACUCCUCACUUUGAGUCUCAUGUUCAAAUGGAUAAAUCACCAAAGAACGCGGAGCAAGAGGAUAUAUUUAGGAAGGUAAAGAUCCUAGAACAAUCGUUGAGAAAUAUGCAAGGGUUAAGAAGCCAAGCGAGUGUGUCUUAUAAGGAUUUGAGUUUUUUCCCUGAUGUUCUACUACCUACCGGGUUCAAGAUGCCCAAGUUUGACUUGUAUGACGGACAUUGGGAUCCUGUAGCUCAUCUGAGAGGUUAUUGCAGUAAAAUAAGAGGCGUUGGGGGAAAAGACGAAUUAUUAAUAGCGUACUUCAACCAGAGUCUGAGUGGGGAAACUCUAGAAUGGUACACUAGCCAAGACACUGGCAGGUGGUACACGUGGGACGAUUUAGCUCAAGCCUUUGCUCGGCGUUUUUAGCACAUCAUAGACAUUGUCCCGAAUCGCCUAUCCCUGACCAAGGUUGAAAAGAAUCCCGCUGAAAGCUUUAAAGAAUAUGGGUUCCGAUAGAGGGAGCAAGUUGUACGGGUCAAUCCUCUAAUGGAAGAAGAUGAGAUGGUUGAAUACUUUCUUCAAGCCUUAGAGCCUACUUAUUUCAGACCUUUGAUCUCAUCCAUUGGUAAGACUUUCAAUGAUGUAAUAAAGAUGGGAGAAAUGGUGGAAGAGGGACUGAAGUCAAGCAAGAUCAUGAGCUAUUCUGCCUUAAAUGCCACAACACAGGCAAUUCAAAAUGACAUAGGAGGAUUUCCGGGUCAGAAGAAAAAGGAUGAUGCUGCCAUAGUUGUCUCUGGAUCACGACAUGGCCCCACGUGUACGCCUCACCAAUAUAUUCAGCCUCGACCCCAACCCUAAACCUAUCCUCGAGCUCCACAUAAUCCAUCUCAACAUUAUCCUCCGAACAACAUCUAGUCAUUUGUUCAACCACUGGGUUACGCCUUAUGGCGAGCACCAGCAUCGCAAAAUUCUCUUUCGCUUUCACAAAAUUUUUGAGCACCCAGAAACCCAAGGAAACAGGGGCAUAGAGGGCAACAAAGGCAAAGAAAUUGUUUCACUCUAAUCGGAGAAUCCUACACAAGUUUGUUUAAAAUUUGAAAGAAUCCGGCAUAGUUGAGCCGUUCAAAAUGACAUAGGAGGAUUUCCGGGUCAGAAGAAAAAGGAUGAUGCUGCGAUAGUUGUCUCUGGAUCACGACAUGGCCCCACGUGUACGCCUCACCAAUAUAUUCAGCCUCAACCCCAACCCUAAAGCUAUCCCCGAGCUCCACAUAAUCCAUCUCAACAUUAUCCUCCGAACAACAUCUAGUCAUUUGUUCAACCACUGGGUUACGCCUUAUGGCGAGCACCAGCAUCGCAAAAUUCUCUUUCGCUUUCACAAAAUUUUUGAGCACCCAGAAACCCAAGGAAACAGGGGCAUAGAGGGCAACAAAGGCAAAGAAAUUGUUUCACUCUAAUCGGAGAAUCCUACACAAGUUUGUUUAAAAUUUGAAAGAAUCCGGCAUAGUUGAGCCGCUCCUCGACUAUACUCCGGACUCAUAUACAAAAGGUUUUGAUACUGUACGAUGCAUGUCCCACUCCAAUUUCCAAGGGCAUAACAUUGAAGAUUGUCGUGCUUUGAAAAGGGAGAGAGAAAAAAUAAUUCAACAAGGGAUAAUUGUGGUCCAGGACUGUUACACCCAGAACAUUCCACAGAAUCCUUUACCUGCACAUGAUGAUGUGUACUUUAUGGGAAAGAAGCAUGGUAAUAGGGAGUAUGAGAAUCUUUUUGGGAACUUACUGGCGGAAGUUAAUAAUAUUGAAAUUGGUAAAGGUCCCAGUAAUUUUGAUGUGCAGUCUAGUGGCUAACGAGCUUGUAAUUGAAAAAGGAUUUUUGGUAGUUUAUUUUGUUGUCAUUUCUGUUUGUCCGGUUUUUCAGGGUUGUAAUUAAGAUAUUAUCUUGUGGCUCAAGCUUUUCUUCUUCUCAUUUUGUCUAGUUCGUUUAGUUGUAGUAACUCAUAUAGUAUUAUUUAGGAGUGUUCUAGGGUUGUAACCCAUGUCUAUUUUGCUCGUCUUGUUCAAACCAUUUUCAUUAUCUAUCUAAUGCAAUCUCCUACUUUCUGUUAGUUCUAGUCAAUUUUGUUUAGGUCAUUUUUUACUUUUAUAAUUUUUUUCAUGCCGACUCUGGCGACAUGACAUGCACACGUAAUUCUCAGCAUGAUCUUGAAAUUUAUUCUAAUAAUGAAGAAAUGGCACAGUUUUGAAUAUGAUAAAAAGAGGAAUUUGAAGAAAUAAGUAAAGAUUCAUGCAUUCCGAGAUAACCUGAAGCUUGAAUUGAGUGAAACUGAGGCAGUUAGUUUGGAAAAUUAAGAUGUUGAUAAGAGCAUACAAUAUAAAAAUGUCUCUCAAGCAGUUUGAAGUAGAUAAGUCAGUGUUGAAAUGCAUUCUUCCACAUCAAGAUAAGGUUGAGUUAAAUCUUCUUCGAACUGGGCAGGAUCAUUCAUUGGGACAAAGGUAUUGCCCAUCGGCUCUUUUUUUUUUGUUGAUGUCAUCAAUAGAUACUAUGUAUGAUUUCUUUACUUAUAUUCAAUUGCGUGUUUGUACUCGGCAUUUUUAGAGCUUGGUAUGACGAAGACAUUUUAUUAUGCUACCUAAACAUUUUUGUCUUUUGCUACCCCUUUGAGCCUUAACUUGUUUUCUUUCAUACACCUCUUUUGGAAUCAGAAAUAGAGCUAGGAACUAGAAAAGAAAAAGAAAAGAGAAAAAGGAAAAAAAAGAAACGAAAAAGAGAAAAAGUAAAAAAAAAGGAAAAGAGAAAAAGAAGGAAAAAAGAAAAAAAUGAAAGAAAAAAGAGGAAAAAGAAAGAAAAGGAAAAGAACAAAAAAACCAACUUUGUGUUUAAACUACGUUUCACUAGAUUUUUGUCACCUAAAGAUACGUAGGCAGCCUUAUGGUUUAGCCACACCAAAUAAAAUAUUUCAUAAUCCCCCGAAGUCGAGAGUGGGGCAAAUUUUCUUAGAAAUCCCAAAAACAAUUAGCAGACUCCAGAAAUAAGGGAAGAAGUUUUAAUUUUGCCAAAAGAUUUAAUUCCAAAAGUUGUAAUUUUGAACCCUUUCAUCUUAAAUUAUUUUGAGCCUUCAUGCCAUCCUUUCUUUCCAACUCUGUCCAAAAGCCUACAUUGCGGUCCAAAAAAAGGCAUUUCGAUCAAUCUUUGAGGAUGUCAAAUCAAGUGCGUGAUAAAAGUAUGAUCUUCCUACAUCAUGGGUAAUGCCUUGUUCUCAUCGCAAAGAGAGAAAAUGAUAAAUGAGAGAGUCUUAUCGGCGAAAACCCUCAUGGCACCAUAAGGCGAAGGUAAUUGAGAAAAAGAGAAAAAUGAGAGAAGCUUGAUGGUGAAAACCCUUCAGGGCACUACAAGUCAACUGAGGAUUGUGGAUCAAAUGAGACAAUUGGAGUGCUGAAAGCCAGUUUCACAGCUUAGAGGCAUAAAAAGAGUUGAACAUUAGACUUCCUUAAUAGAUUAGGCCACUUUAAUCCAAAAUGCAUGUCACAGUUAUUAGAGUUGGUAUCUACAUCUGACAAGUUUCUACUCGGUGAUUUUUUUGUUAGAUGUCAUCGCUUUAUGUUGUCCCAUUAACUCUGUUAUUCUUGCUUUAUUUAAGUCGUCUAGAGUCUGUUUUAUCUGAACAAGUAAAGAAAUGACUUCAAAAUACUUUCAGCUUUUCAAUUGCACAAAAUGGAGUCUGGCUAGCACAUCAAAGUGGCAUAAGUAAGGAAAGAAAAAUAUGAGCAUUAAAUUUCGGUAGUAUUGAAAUAAUGCUCGAGCAGAUGAUUAAGAAGAACCAAGGUUUCGAUGCUCAGUUGGGUUCUCACAAUACCUCUAUCUGGAUGUUGGAAGUGCAAUUAGGCCAAAUCUCGUAAGCUUUGAACACUCGCCCCAAGGGUGCUCUACCAAGAGAUACAGUAGUAAACCCAAAAGGUGGUAACAACAACCAUGUGAUGGCAAUUACAAUAAGAAGUGGGAUAGGUGGUGAUGUAAAUGCCUCAAAGCAAAAGAAAAUUGUGGAUGAAAAUGUUGAGUUGCAAGAUGAUGAAGUGUCUUUGGUUGUUGAAGAGGUGGUUGAACAGAAUAUGAACAAUGAUGUGAGGAUUGACAGUGAGGAGGCCGAAGUGGAAACUCAAGAUGUCGUGAACCCAUCUAGGGAACACGUGAUUAACAUGCUCGAGCCGGUUGUGCCAAAAGCCAAGGAACCCUUGAUUAGACCACGUCCACCUUAUUCUCAAAGGCUCGCAAAGAAAAUCAAUGAUAAUCAAUUCAAGAAGUUCAUUGAUAUGAUGAAGAGCUUGUCCAUAAAUGUGCCGUUGGUGGAAGCUCUUGAACAAAUGCCGGAAUAUGCAAACUUUAUGAAGGAUUUAGUGACAAAGAAGAGGUCUAUGGAUUGUAAAACAAUAAAUAUGACUCGCGAAGUGAGUGCUAUAGUGCAUUCAAUGGCACUGAAGCUUGAAAACCCCAGAGCUUUUACUAUCCUUUGCACUAUUGGGAGUGCGGACUUUGUCAAAGCUUUAUGUGACUUGAGAGCUAGUAUCAAUUUGAUGCCUUACUUAGUUUUCACGACUUUGAGUAUCAGGCAACCAGACCAUCUGCAAUGAGACUUUAAAUGGCGGGUCUAUCAAUGAAGGGACCUUUGGGAAUUAUUGAUGAUGUGCUUGUCCGGAAGGACAAAUUCAUAUUAUCAGCCGACUUUAUUGUUUUGGAUUGUGAAGUGGACUAUGAGGUGCCUAUUAUCUUGGGUAGACUUGUCCUUGCAACGGGAAGGAAUUGGUUGAUGUUGAAGAGAGUGAUCUCACUUUACAAGUGGGUGAUGAAAAGGUCGUCUUCCAUGUUUUCAAAUCCAUGAAGCAACCCAAUAGCACCGAGGUGUGCUCAUUUGUAGACCAUGUCACAACUGUGAUUGUGGAUGAUACUAUUCUAUUUUCAACGUGGAGGAUCAUCUUGAGGCUGUGCUACUAAAUAUGGAUGUUAAUGAUGAUUCAAGCAGAGGGGAGUGCGUGAAUGCCUUACAUGGGAUGGGCUCUUAUUCUUAUGAGCCAAGAAAAUUAUCUUUGGAUCUUGAAAGCCGAAAACUCCACCAACAAAGCCAUCAACUGAGGAGCCACCGGUGUUGGAGUUGAAACCACUUCCUCCACACUUCAAGUAUGAACUCUUGGGCUCAGACUCUACUUUACCAGUUAUUCUUUCAUCUUGCCUUACUAACAUGUAGGUUGAGGCCACUUUGGCAGUGCAUUCAAAGCAGAAAAGGGAAACUGGAUGGACUCUAGCUGACAUUCGUGGAAUAAGCCCCGUAUUUUGCAUGCACAAAACUAUCUUGAAGGAUGAUGCAAAGCCUUCCUUGGAGCAUCAAAGAAUAUUGAACGAGGCUAUGCAAGAUGUGGUGAAGAAAGAGGUGAUCAAAUGGUUGGAUGUCAGGGUUAUGUACCCCUUUUUUAAUAGCUCGUGGACUUCUCCAGUGUAAUGUGUACCAUAGAAGGGUGGUAUGACUGGGUGACCUAUAACAACAAUGAUCUUUAUUCCUACUCGGACAGUCACCAGAUGGAGAAUAUGCAUGGAUUACAGGAAGAUAAACAAGGUGACCCAAAAGGACUAUUCCCCAUUGCCAUUCCUUGACCAAAUGCUAGAUCGUCUUGCGGGGCGUGCUUUUUAUUAAUUUUGGAUGGAUAUUCAGGGUGUGAGCACGUUAUUUUAGCCUCGCUCGAAAUAUUCCUAUAGAAUUCUUAAAAUUAGGAUUUUUCUGUUGUUGUUUGAGUUUUCAGGAAUUAAUUGCAUGAUUUUACGUUUAUUUGCAUUUUUUUGCAUUUUAAAUUGAUAUAAUUCAUAAAAAUACAAAAACAUCAUGUUUGCAUUUAGGACUUAAUUGUUACAUUUUUUAGGUUUAUUAGGUAAUUAAUGUUUAAAAAAUUAAAAAAUAAUAACAAAAAGGGUCACUUUUACAUUUGUUUAGUUUUCUUUUCCAAUUUGGGAUUAGGUUAUUUUUAGAAGUUAAUUAGUUUUCGUGUAAAAUUUAAAUUGGUUUUUGCCUUUUAUUUUUUACUUUACUUGAUAAAAUCUGGAAAAAUAAAAAUAAAAAGAGAAUUUAUUAAAAACCAAAAAAAGGAGUUAAGUAAAAAGAAAAAAAGAAUAAAACAAAUAAUUUCUUUUAGUCUUAUUAGGAGACCUGAAUCGGGACACUAUACACCUAUCUAUCUAGUCCAAACCCCUCUAACCCACCCCAAACCCGAUCCAAAAUGGUGAUGCUUGAAACAACGUCAUUUCUACACGAUCAAUCAGGGCCAUUGAUGACCUUUGAUCAAUGGAUAUGAACUGCCUAGGUUUUAAAUAUAUAAGUGUCGGAAUCCCCCACCCCACUCCUCCAAACCCUCUCUCAAACACCCUUGAAUACACCGAUGUAUCACCGCCGUAUAACCUCCGUCCUGCACCGUCUGCCGGUGGUCGGUCUCCAAUGAGCCCCAAAUUAAUACCCUUUACUCCUCUUCUCCUCCUCUUUCCAGCCCCUAAACCACAACCCUCGAAUAUUAACCGAUUGUCUUGAAUAUUAGUUCAAAGAUUCGAAUAGUCCGCCAUCCACGGUGGCGAUGGCUCAAAUGGCCACCAAUAAUACACCAAAUGUUCUCUUUUCCAUCCUCUACCCAGAUUUGAAUCCUUCCUUCCUCGAAUCUCCUUUGAACUUGUCGUAUAAGUUAAAAUAUAGUUGUCGCUUCCACCGCCCACGACGGAGUUACCUCCAAACCCUCCCAGAUUUACACCCCUAAACCUCCUAGGCCUCCUCUUCCCAUUUCUGUGACUCCCUUGGCUUGAAUACAACCCAAUCAUCUCGAAUCUUCAUUCAAACGACGGCUGCUCCACCGUACAUGGAGACGUCGGUGCCCAAACUACCUCAAAUAAACACCCAACAACCCUUGACUUUACCUCAUCCUAUAUCCACGUCCUAUUCCCUUUAAAUAGCCCUAGGAUUGGCCGAACAUCAUACUAAAAAGUUGACCCAAUCGAUGCAUGGUAGAUUCAAUACAUUUUCUAAUUGAAAAAAAGCUAAGUGUUUCGUUUCCUGUACUUUUGACUACUUGUUCAUUUUAUUUGCUUCAAAUUGAUUCUAGCUUAGGUAUUUCAUCUCUUCAUCAUAUGCUCCUUCUUUCCUGCCUCUCUCCUUUGUUUCUUUGGUCCAACUGUGAAAUUGAUAGUUGUGUUGCGAGAUUAAAUAAAACCAAUAGGCUUCUUCUUGUGCUUUCAAUCUUAUUUUGUUCUUGUCUGUUUCCUGUGAUUGUUUUUAGUUUAAUUUGCUCUGAUUUGGUUGAUCCUGCUUACUUCGAUUGUUCGUUUAAUUUUGGCAUUUAUUUCAUCGAUUUUGAUUUCCCAGUAGUUUCUUGUUUUGUUACUAGUUUGGCUCUUAUUAGUUCUUUUAUGUGUUUUUUAUAUAAUUUAGUUCUGAUUUGGUUGAUCCUGCUCAUUCUGAUUGUUAGCUUAAUUUUGGCAUUUGUUGCAUUGAUUUUAACCUCCUAGUAGUCUCUUAUUCUGUUACUAGUUUGGCUCCUAUUAGUUCUUUUAAUAAUAGCUGAAUAAGGAUUUGUGGAGUUUGGAUAUAAUCAAUUUAAUUAAGGUAAAGGGGGUCAGCUGAUAUAGUUUGAGUAAUUUCAGGGUAGUUCAGGGGUAGUACAGGUAUUGUGAGUUAGGGAAUCUGGCAUUCAACUGACUUUGUAAACCUCUAAGACAUUCGAGGAGGGGUUCCAAUCGUAUUUUUGAGAUAACAAUGUUAUAACUUGGCCAGCAAGAAAAUCUAGGACUAAGUGAAUAAAAUUUAAAAAUAAAAGGGGACUAAUGGGUAAACACAAAAUAAGAGGGUUUCCCUAAGCUUUGAUUAUAAAAUAGCACCCUAAUGCCUUCAUUGACAAGUUCCUGGCAGAUUGAAAUCCCUGAAAAACUUCCCAGGACUUCUGAACUCUGAAAAUCAUAAAACAAUUCCUUAAAAUUUCCAGGAAAUCCUGAAAGAUACCUAGGGUCUAAAUUUCACAUAAUGUUAUUUCAUUAGAGUGUCUUCUUCAUAAUUAGUUCCAAUUCCCAUCAAUCAAUUUGAAUUGCUAACUUGAAUAAGCUAGAAAUGUCCUGAAAUAUAUGUGUUUGAGGUGCUAAGAUUUCAUAAGCUUAGGUGGAUCCAAUUCUGAGUAUAUUUGGAUUACGUUUGAGGAUUUUGGGUUGGCUCCCUGGUGGUAUUUGCAUUAGAUCAUUGUUCUAGAUUAUUUGACAACUUCUCCUAUCCAACUUUGGGUUCCGAAUGUUGGUUCACUGUUGUAUAUGUGAUUGGUUUGCUAUUGUUAUUGCCUCUGAUUUGCCUACUCAUAAGUGUCAUUUUUCGCUUCAUUCCAGGUACUUGUUCUGAGCUCUUUCACUAUAUAUCUCAAAUGAAGGUUGAGUGACAAUGAUGCCCUGUUUUGUUAUAGGUUUAGGUUUUGCUUUGUAGUAACUUAUUGUAAAUAACAUGGACUGUACUGGACUUUUAAAACUGUAAUAGAUUGGUAUUUUUUUUAGAGGUUUUGUUUAACCUAUUUCCUUCAUGCUAGUUUGAAUGUUCCAAGUAGGUCAAGGGCUCAUGAAUCCUUGUAGCUAAUGUGGAGUAUAGUGUUUCACUACAAAUGACUUGAUUCAAUUUGUAUGUUGAAUCAUAUAUUUAAUAGUGGUAGUUUAAAUUGGAAGUUGGAUUAAUAAGACCUCACCUUUGACUUAAUCAAUCAUUAAGGUUAAUGGUAGUGCACUUGUGAGGUCUAUUGGCAAAACGUUUAGUCCUGCUUAUGUGUAAUGGAUUAAAUUGAUAUUUGUCUUACUUCAGUAGCAUGAAAUCUGGAGUCAAGUUUUUAUGUAAGUUCAUAUAUAUGCUCUGCCCAAGUUCGAAAACAUUUUAGUUAUUAAUUUCGUUUGAAAAUCAAAAGUCAUUGCUCUAAGCUUCAUGUUUUAAUGUAAAUACUAGUUAUUCGUAUUAAUUCUUCGAAUUUUAUAAGUAUUAGAUGAAGUCGAGUAAUCAGUAUCCAGUUUUGAUUAAACAAACGUGCAUUUUACUUAUCAAAGUUUUGGAAAUAAAUUUAUGCAAGCUUAUAAUCUAAUUAAGGGCCCAUUUGGAUUGGAUCCAUUAAAGGAUCUGGGGUAUAUAGCCCAUCGUCGAGUAAGCUAGUCUUAACAUCUAGCCCAGGGCUGAUUCUAAUCUACUGCUCAUUUGGGCCUGGGCAACCCUGGCCAAUUUUGCAAAGCUAGACAGGGGUUCCAGGUCUCCGGGCUUAUAUUGAAGCGGAAUGAUGUUUAAUAGAAAAUAUAGUCGCUUUUAGGAUAUCCUGGCCCUCUUUAAAUGUGUAUUAAAUAUCUAGACUACGGGACGUGCCAUUUAGCAAAUUCCAUAGCCUCCCGCAAAGUUAAUAAUACGCUUCUUGCUUUAGGCGCGUUAGUUUAAUAAUAUUACCUUCCUAAAUUCGAGUGCACAUUUAUGUGACCCAAAUACAAAUCCCAACGAAUUUGAAAUGUGUCAAAAAUCACGGUUGCAUUUAUGUGACGUAAUUCGAGACAUGUUUUAUCGCGUUGCAAUUUUCUUUAAAAAUAAAAGUGGCUAAAAGAUUCAAAAUGCACAUAGGUGCAUAAUUGUAUAAAAUCAGAUAAUUUAAGCCAAAUAUAACAUUUGAGAGACCGUUCUAGAACCACGGAACUCAAGAAUGCCUAACACCUUCUCUCGGGUUAACAAAAUUCCUUACUCGGAUUUCUAGUUUGCGGAUUGUUAAACAAAGUCAUUCUUUCCUCGAUUCGGGAUUUAAACUGGUGACUUAGGAAACCAUUAAUUAUCCCAAGUGGCAACUCUGAAAUAUCUUAAACAGUUGGAUCUCGUUUCGAUUGUCCUUUAAUUGGAAAAACUCCGUUAUCUAUGCCCUUCGCAUGGUUGUUGUGCAAAAAGAAGGUGUGACAGCUCUGGCGACUCUGCUGGGGACCGAACCCAGAAUCUUUGGUUCAGGGUUCAAGAAUUUGAGCUUAGAAUAAUUGUUGUAUUUGGUUUUGUUUAUUAUUUCACAUGUUGACUUAAUGCGAAAAAUGAUGCUUUUACCGCUUUGAUAUUAUUUGAACUGUAUAUAUAAACUGUUACGAAACCCUUCUCUUCUUAUCUCCGGGGAUGUGCUUGCAGGUCGAGACUCCCUAUUCUGUUAGUGCCAUACCUUCAAAUAAGAAAGAGGUUCGGACAAGUUAAAAAGCUGGAUGUUCUUGUGGGUCCCCAGUACGUAGCCCCCUCCCCGACUCGAGUUUUCCGCUCGGGUGCACAGUCUAGAACAAAUACCAAGGUUUUAAACAUAGAAUAACUUAACCUCAUGCCGGAUCCACAUUAGGAAUGCUUGUCUGCAUUAUGCAUGUGACUUAGGGGACUCAACAUAGGGGUUGGGUCCGUCUAGGACAGGUGUACCCGAAAUAAUGGACCAUCAUGAUGCAUCCUACCUGUGCAUUUAUUUGUUUUGCAUUUGCAUGCUUACUGCCUUUUACGGGUAAGGAGAGUAAACCACCUGUCUUAAAAGAACCAAUGUCCAAAUACUACCGAAGCUCUGUUGAAAUUUUUUUUUGAACAAAAAAAGGAAAAAAAAAACAAAAAGGGGAAAAGGGGGAGUCUAUUUUAUUCGCCCAAGAAAAAGAAAAACCUGGUUUUCAAAAAUAGUUUUGUUUUUUAUAAAAUUAAAAAGGGAAAGCUAAGUCUUGUUUUCAAAUAAUAGUUUUGUUUGUCUGAAAUACGCCAGUUUGAUUCUCGUUAGGUGCGAGAUACAUAGGCAAUCUCCAUCGAGUCCAACCUCCCUUUUGUAAAAAUAGCCAAAACAAAGAGAAACAAAUGUCAAAUUUUAUUUGUUGUUCUAAAUAAAUCGGGUGAUGUUGUUGUUGUCAAGAACAACCGAAUGUUACCGAAAAGGAUGCCAGAAGGCUGAUUUUUCACAAACGGCCACCUUUGGGUUUCUAUUUUUAUUAUUGGACAGUUAACGGACACAGCCUUAAAAUCUUCCUCCGGAAAUGCUUAAAGGUCGUUUCCGCAAAGCUGGGCUCUGAUUUUAGAAAGUAAAUUGUAUGAAUCAAAAGGGGUCAUUUUUUUUAUUUUGAAGUCAAAUGGAAUAAAGUCUUAAGUUGCUAAUUCGCCUUAAUAAAUGUGCACGAUGAGCACAAUCCAAAACAAACCUUUUUUAUUUGUAAGCAGAAUCCCUUUUGAGUUGCGACUGUGGUGGAAUGAUCUAGGUAUAGAAGGGCAAGAUGAGGUGAAGAAAUAUUUGGGAGUCCUUCCCGGACUACUUGAGAUUUUACCUCGAGGGGACAUCAUAAGAGCGCUGGUCACAUGCUGGGACCCGACGCACAAUGUGUUCCACUUCUCAGAUUUUGAACUUACCCCAACCUUAGAAGAAGUAGCCAGGUACAUUGGGAUGUUGAGCUUCCUUUGAGGCACAAGUAUUUGGUAGCCCCAAGAAUUGUAGAAGUGCACAAAUUCUUAAAUACCCUUAUGAUAAGCAGAAUGGUACACGACUCAAACCUGGCAGCAGGGUUUUGUACUUUUUCAUUUUUGUAUACCAGAUAUUGUCACAUAGGGGGGUUCAACAAUCCAGGGAACAAAAUCUACAGCAAAGGAAACCCCGUCAAGUGGGAAGAACACAUACGUUUCGCUUUUACGUUGGAUUGUCUAGGGCUCCUGGUAUUUCCAAGGAAAGAUGGGAACAUUGACAUAAAAUAGCAGGGGUUGUCGGCACUCUAUGCACACAAGCCAAGUGCACACUCGCGCCUAUGAUAGUAGCUGAGAUCUUUCAUGCUCUCACAGCUUGCAUGGCCAGGAAAGAUUUCUUUGAGGGGUAAAAUCUGUUGUUGCAAAUGUGCAUAACCGAACAUUUGUGCCAUUGUCCCCAGUUCAUGAGCUCUGGGUCAGCAGAGAAAACUUGCAUAGAAGAGUUUUACACAAGAAUUGAAGGGCUCAGUUUGCCCGAAGGGGUAACAGGAUGGAUAUCUUACUUUCAAUCCCUCACUGCCGGUCAAAGAGAGUGGACUAUGGGAUGGUUGUCUGUGGACGAGAUUAUUUACGUGCCGACAAUUGAGCCUCACUUACUUCUGAUGGGUCUUAGGAGCAUCCAUCCAGAGGCGAAGUGUCGCCAGGAUACCUUGCUUGGUAUAGGAGAGAAAUUGCGUACGAGAGGCCAGCCAAAAGGCUCCACCUCCGGGAAUUUGUUGAAGCAUCGGAAGAGCAAUAGGGCUGGUUGGCUCAAGAACACGAAUACAGGGAUACAAUAAGCAAACUGUAGAAGCAUGUCAUGAAUUUGAGAUUUGAGAAGGAUUUGCAAGCUCCCGCAGAUGAAGGCAAAAAGAAGAAAAUGGUCAAGGAAAAUGAGGUCCUUCAGGCCCAAAUUCAAAAAAUUAAAGUAGCUGCUGAAAACCCCGGCCGAAGUACCAAGGAUACAAAACUUAUAGAAGGCUUGAGACAGAAGGUGAGUGACUACAUUUUUUAUUUGAACAAAGAAGAAAAAGAACUAGUCAGGGCUCGAAAGAAAUUGGAUGAAAAUGCGGCAGAACGAGCACGUCUGAUUAGGCAAUUAAAAGAGGAGUUCGACGGUGAGGUGACAGGGUUAAAGAAAAGGGUCGUCAUUGCAGAAAACAAAAUACUCAAAUAGGCAAAAGAGUUCAAAAUUGAAAGGGAAUAUUGUUACAUAGCAUUGGCACAAUUAGAAUCUAAUUUUCAACAGCUUCAAAAGUAGUAUCAAGUAGCUGAACAAAUUUUGGAAGCCAAAACUGAGCAGAUCGGGCGGUUAUUUAAGGAGAAAGGUGUUAUACGAGAGAGAAUCAAAUGGAUCGCGCACUAUAUCGCAAUGAAAUGUAGCAGCUUUGAGGAUAGGCCAAGAUAUAUGUUCUUUGCCACCACAAUGCUUUUUGUUCACUGCAUAAUGGAAGAUCUUCAUCACCUCCAAGGGGAUUUAGCUAGUCAACCCUCGGCAAGGCCAAAAAAAGCCUCAUACGUCCCAAGAGCAAUUGAAGCCGUAAUGUAUUCGUAAUUUCUUGAGAUUGUAUUUUUUCUUCAAAAGUCCGUCAGUUUGUCUUAGAGUCAGUAUUUUCUUUUAUGCAGGGUUAGCUGUUCUUCGAGUCUGUAGUUCGUCCUUUAUCAGAGUCUGUCUGUUCUUCGAGUCUUUGUAACCAAGUUUGUUAUUAUGAAAAUUAAAAAACGCCAAAAUAUUUUUUGCUCACUUUUAUUUCCAGAACUACGCUAGGUCUGAUUCAUAUGGGGUCAUGAUAUGUAGGCAAUCUACAUAGGAUUCGUCCAUAACCGAAUAAAGAAAAAGGAAAAGAGAAAAGAAACGAAAGGGAAAGAAUAGGAGAGAAAAGUAGAGGACAAUCAAGAAAACAAACAAGAAAACAAAAUAGGAGAGAGUAAUAAAAUAAAGCAAAAAAGACGGGGGCAUUGAAAACAAAGAAAAUGAAAGUCAGAAUGAGGCAAGCAACCGACGCAUGUAGCGACCCAUCCUUGUUUAGGUGCAUUCACACUCAAUAUGUGGCCUAUUGCAUGUUAAAACCUAACCAUUAACAAGUUUUUUGGUGAUUUGUAAUUCCAGACUAGACAGGUGGUUAGUACUUGUGGCAUUCUGGCAACCCACUCUUACAACACGCGGUCCAAGAGCAAGCAUGUCAUGGCCAAUCAGGAAAUCGAUGUCAGCAUUAUUGACCCCUCGAAAGAAGUAGAGGAAUUGGACGUUAAUGCCAUGAAGGAGGAAAUGUACAAACUUAAACAUCAAAUGGCCAAGAUGUACCAAGCCUGGGCGAGAGGACAGCCAUCCCCAGCCUAUCCUGCUAAUCCAACCUUCAUCCCGCCACUAGCCCAAGCUCUUGACCAGUCCACCACUGAUCUACCCCCAAUUGUUCCUAUCUACUCGCAGCACCAGGGUACGACAUCUCAACCACCACCAGCUCCACUACCCAAAGUCGCUCCUCGCCCCCCUCCACCAAUUGCUCCCAUCUACGUGGAACCUCCUCCUCCGCACUCCAUAGAUCGUCAAGUGAACCCUUGAUUCAAGCUUAUGACCACCAAUACUAUCCACCAGAACCUGCUUAUAAAGCCCAUGAACCUUACUCCUAUGCUCCUCGUCUCGAAAUCACGGUGGGAGUUUAGAAGCCAAUCAAAAAUCCUGAGGGGGAGGAGGUACUCAAAAAGGUCAGAAGUUUAGAAUAGUCGUUCAGGGAAAUGCAAGGGUUAGGUGGCUAGGUGAGCGUGGCGUUCAAAGACCUUUGUCUAUUUCCAGAUGUGUAGUUGCCUCCUGGUUUCAAGAUGCCUAAAUUUGACUUAUAUGAUGGACAUGGUGAUUCGGCUGCGCAUCUAAGGGGGUUUUUCAGCAAAAUGAGAGGAGCAGGGGGAAAAGAUGAAUUACUAAUGGCGUACUUUAACUAGAGUUUAAGUGGGUCGGCACUGGAGUGGUACACUCGGCAUGAUCACAAUCGGUAGUACACUUGGGAUGACCUGGCACAAGUGUUUGCUUGUCACUUUCAAUAUAAUCUCGAAAUUGUCCCGGAUAGACUAUCUUUGACAAAACUGGAGAAGAGACACAACGAGAGUUUCAGGGAAUAGGGUUUUCGGUGGAGAGAACAAGCAGCUAGAGUUGAUCCUCCAAUGAAAGAGAGUGAGAUGGUUGACUAUUUCAUACAUGCUCUGGAACCUACCUAUUUCGGGCAUUUGGUGUCGGUAGUAGGUAAGUCUUUCAAUGAAGUAAUUAAAAUGGGAAGUAUGGUCAAGGAAGGCCUCAAAUCCAACAAGAUCAUGAGCUACUCUGCAAUCAAGGCAACCACUCAGGCCAUCCGGGGUGGAGCUGGGGCAACAUUUGGAGAGAAGAAGAAGGAGGAAGUAGGAACAGGUCUUUCAAUGAAGUAAUUAAAAUGGGAAGUAUGGUCAAGGAAGGCCUCAAAUCCAACAAGAUCAUGAGCUACUCUGCAAUCAAGGCAACCACUCAGGCCAUCCAGGGGGGAGAUGGGGGAAUAUUGGGAAACAAGAAGAAGGAAGAAGUGGCAACAAUUGAGUCGGGAACUUGGUUCAGGCCGCAAGCUCCAUCCCACUACACCCGACCCUGUCCUCACCACCAAACAUACCCACACCCUCCAUACAGCCCACCACAACAUUAAUAUCCGACGUUAGAACCUCGCUUCUCAGUCCAUCACGCACAAGCGUAUACCUAACCUCCCGCCCACGCACAAUGGCCUGCACCAGCCCUACAAAAUACCUAUCCAACUCCACAAAAUCAUUACCCACCCUCAAGAGCCUACCAACAAAUCCCGAAACCCGCCUUCCGAACCAAUCUAGUCCUGAGAAAUGAAAGGGUGCAGAAGAAGAAAACUUUCACUCCUUUGGGAGAAUCUUACACUAGUUUAUUCCAUAUGCUGCAACAACUGGAUAUGUUGAGACCAAUCGAGGCGAAAUUGCCAAAUCCUCCCCCAAAGAAUCUAGACUAUUCUGUUAGCUAUGAAUACUGUACUACCGAGGCGUCAUACUGAAAAGUGUUUUCAUUUGAAGAAUGCUACCUAGGAACUUAUCGACUCCCACCAGAAUGAAGUAGAGACUCCAGAGGCACCCAAUAUUAACCAAAACUCACUGCUGGCCCAUCAUGAGACCAACAUGAUUGAGAUCGUGGAAAAGGGGGGAGAGUCCAAAACGCCCUUAUAGAAAGUAAUGAUGAUCAAAUCUAGUGAAGUUAAGCCAAUUGAGAAUAUGAGCAGUGAGAAUUUAGUGAUCGAGGCAAAGCGAGGAAACAGCAAACUUGUUGUAGUUCAAGGGAGCUCAUCAUGCACGGUUGCACCAAAACAGAAACAUACAAACGUAAUAGUACACGGGGCAACUAGAGAACCUAUCGUAUUUGUGGAAGGUGUUCGCAUAGAGCCUAUCAUUAUGAAACUAGUAAUCCAGCCACCAGUCGUCAACAGCAAAGCCGUUCCUUGGAAUUAUGAACAAGCAAUAGUGAUGUACAAAGGGAAGGAAGUUAGGGAAGAAGUUUGUGAAGCCAGAGGUUUAACUUGGUCAGGGAAAUACUUCUCCCCUGAAGAGUUGAGGAAAAGCAAGAUAUCUAAAGAUAACCCAGAAUCAGUGAAGAAAGCUGUAUCAGAAGAAGAGGCAGAAGAAUUCCUGAAGAAGAUGAAAAUACAGGAUUACUCCAUCAUAGAUUAAUUGAGGAAAACACCACCUCAGAUCUCCUUACUGUCCUUAUUAAUCCAUUCAGAUGAACAUCGCGGAGCGUUGAUGAAGAUUUUGAACGAAGCCCACGUCCCUGAUAAGAUAACAGUGAAUCAUUUGGAGAAAAAUGCAAAUAAAAUAUUGAAGGUAUAUCGGGUCACUUUCUCUGAUGACGAGCUGCCUAUGGAGGGCACUGAGCACAAUUGGACCCUUUAUUUGGCUGUAAAAUUUAAAUAUGAUAUGGUCACCCGAGUUCUGGUUGACAAUGGAUCCAGUGCAAAUAUUUGUCCCAUCUCCACAUUGAUCAAGCUGAAGGUGGAGAAUUAAAGGGUCCACAAGAAUAAUAUUUGUGUUCGGGGUUUCGAUGGCAGAGGCAAAGAAUCAGUAGGGGAUAUAGUGCUGGAGGUGAAAAUAGGGCCUGUUGAGUUCACCAUGGAAUUUCAAGUGCUGGAUGUGGUAGUUUCUUAUAACCUGUUGUUGGGAAGGCCUUGGAUUCACACAGCAAAAGGAGUGCCGUCUACAUUGCACCAGAUGGUCAAAUUUGAAUGGGACAGACAAGAGAUUGUAGUGCACGGUAAAGAUAAUCAGUCUGUUUCAGGUUAUGCUAUCGUACCUUUUAUUGAAUUUGAAGACAUCAAAGGUCCAUGUCAAUCAGAUAUUCGACACGGUGUCAGUUGAAAAGAUCCUGGAAGGUGAGAUUGUCACAACUCUGAAGAUAGCAUCCGCAUUAGUCAUGGUGGCUUCAAAAAUAUUGAAGAAUGGUUUCGUGCCCGGCAAGGGGUUGGGUGAUUCUCUACAAGUCAUCGUGCAACCAGUGACCCUCCCUAAAAAUUUGAAUACUUUUGGUCUAGGGUUCAAGCCUACAGCUGCGGUCAUAAGGGAAGCUCGAAAGUUAAAGCAGAGGGCCUAGGCCCUCCCAAAGCCCAUCCCAGGUUGUCCAAAUCAUUUUUCAAGCCCAGUACUAGAAAUUUCUCCAUGCCAAAGAUUCCCGGCCCGUUGAUCGACGUGGAUGGGGAUUUGGACAAGGGAUUAGAAAGGUUGUUCAAUGAGGUAAAUAUGGUCGAGGCAGGAGAAGGAUCAAGAAAAGCAGACAUGCAGUUUGUGGGAGCAUGCGCAAAAGUCAAUAACUGGGAAGCCACUCUUGUUCCCACCCGGAUGGAUUCGUGGUAGUCGGAUUUGAUUUUUCUUUCAAGUCUAGUUUGGAUUAUCCUCAUAGUUGUUAAUUUAGUUUUCAUUUCCGUCCUUUUGGAUGUGUAAACUAUGUUAUCUUUUGAUUCUAAUGAAAUGCAAUUUCCUUUCCAGUAAUGCAGAUAGUUUCCAUUUUUCUUUACUUCUCUUUCUUUUCUCUUUUGUACAGUUAUUUUUAUGUUGUUUCUAAUGAUCCGACAUGCAUAAGGACUUUCCGGCCCAGUCUUAAGAAUCGUUCUAGUUCAGAAAUAAUAAUUCAGGAAAUAGAGCACGAGGAUGAGCCAAAAUACAACGAGGAAAGGGCAUGGGAUGAAAUUAGUAAAGAGUAGAGCUAGUUUGAGGAAAAACCCAAACCAAACCUGAGCGAUACAAGGGCAGUCAAUUUAGGAAGCCCGGAUAAUUUCAGAGAAACAAAAAUAAGUGUCCUUCUGGAGUCACAACUUAGGAAAGAAAUAUUUGAAGUACUGCUUGAAUACAAAGUUGUCUUUGUGUGGUCCUACAAUGAUAUGCCCGGAUUGAGCACUAACUUGGUGGUUCACAAAUUUCCCACAGACCCGGCCUGUCCUCUCGUCAAUCAAAAGUUGAGGAAGUUCACAACUGAUGAGCGUGAAAAUCAAAGAGGAAGUGACCAAGCAGUUUGAGGCAAAAGUUAUACGAGUUACACGAUAUCCUACCUAGUUAGAUAAUGUUGAGCCUAUACCAAAGAAUAAUGUAAAACCAGAGUGUGUGUCGAUUACCAUGACCUCAAUAAAUCAAGUCCGAGGGACAACUUCCCCCUGCCGAACAUUCACAUACUGAUUAACAACUGUGCGAAGCAUGAGAUCGGGUCGUUCGUGGAUUGUUACACAGGUUACCUCCAGAUCCUAAUGGAUGAAGAACGCUGGGACAUAUUGCUAUAGGGUCAUGCCUUUUGGUUUGAAGAACGUUGGGGCGACAUACAUGAUGGCAAUGACAAUCAUUUUUCAUGAUAUGAUACAUAAAGAAAUUGAGGUCUACGUGGGUGAUGUGAUUGUGAAGUCUAGAAAGCAAUCCGAUCAUGUCAAAGAUCUGAGGAAAUUCUUCCAUAUGCUCCGCAUGUAUGAUCUCAAACUAAAUCCAGAAAAAUGAGCAUUUAGGGUCCCCUCAGGGAAGUUUCUAGGGUUCAUAGUCAUCUGACGAGGCAUUGAACUAGACCCGUCAAAGAUCAAAGCUAUACAGGAACUACCGCCACCAAGGAAUAAAAUAGAAGUGAUGAGUCUAUUGGGAAAAUUGAAUUACAUCAGUCGAUUCAUUGCUCAACUCACAACCAUCUGCAAGUCCAUCUUUAAGCUAUUGAAAAAGGAUGCUACAGUGAAAUGGAUGGGAGAGUGCCAAGAGGCUUUUGAUAAGAUAAAGAAAUAUAUGUUGAACCCACUAGUAUAGGUCCCUCCAGAGCCACGAAGGCCCUUGAUCUUAUAUUUGACAGUCUUGGAAAUUUGGCUGCGUGUUGGGUCAGCACGAUGUCACCGGGAGAAAAGAGCAGGCCAUAUACUACCUCAACAAGAAAUUCACAGCAUAUGAGGUUAAGUAUACUCAUCUUAAAAGGACAUGCUGUGUCUUGAUGUGGGUAGCCCAGAAGUUAAACCAUUACUUGUUCUCAUAUACCACUUAUCUCAUCUCACGUCUGGAUCCAUUGAAGUACAUUUUCCAGAAGUUAAUGCCCACAGGAAGGCUCGCGAAAUGGCAAAUCUUGCUCGCUGAGUUUUACAUUAUCUAUGUGACUCGGAUUACCAGAAGGCAUAGGCAUUGGCUGAUCAUUUAGCUGAGAAUCCAAUAGACGAAGAAGGCACAGGCAUUGGCUAAUCAAUUAGCUGAGAAUCAAAGGAUUGUUUGUCGUGUCAAGAGUAAUGUCCAAUGGGGCAUUGUAUUUAGCAAAUGUGGAAGGAAAAUGCGUAGAAAUGGCUAUCAAUUCAGAUGCAAUCAAAAGAUAUUAUGUAUGAUUCUCUUUUGUUUGAACCAUUGUCUAUUUGUACGUGGCAUGUAUUAUAUAAUGAAAUGAUGAAGGCAUUUUAUUCCGCUAUCAAAACACAUUACCCUUUGUUAACCCAUUUGAGCUUCAGUUAUUUUCCCUUUCAUAUCCCGUCUUUCGAAAUCGGUAACAAAACGCAAGUGUGAGAAGGCAGUGAAAGGAAAAGAACGGAAAGAAUGAAAAGAAUGAAAAAACAAAAGAAAAGAAAAAUAAAUAAAAUCAAGAAAAGAAAAGAGAAAAGAGGAAAAGAAAAAAGAAAAGAGAAAGAAAACAAAACAAAGAAAAGAAAAGGAAGAAAAAAAAUAGAAAGAAAAAAAGGAGAAAAAACAACAACAAAAACAAGGAACAAUCAGGAACUACGUUUGACCUGAUUCCUUUUUAGGAUACGUAGGUAGCCUCACGGCUCAGUCAUAUUCAAAUAAAUCCAAAAGCCCCAAGCAAGAAACUGGGCCAGAAAUUGCGUUGCUUUGGAUUCGAAAGUUGUAAAUUUUGAACCCAUAAAAGCGAUUGUUGAGCCUUUCACACCCUUUCUUUCUAACCUUAUCCAAAAACCCACAUUACAGCCAAGAGAACGACCUUCUAAUCAAUCUGUAAGAAAUGGCGGGGCAAGCAAGAAGAAGUGGACCAUACCUCGGGACGAUACUCUAGUUCCUGCAGAAAAUAAUAAAAUGAGAGUCUUAUUGGUGAAAACUCUCACGGGAACCAUAACGCGACGAGAGUUUGAGAGAAAUAAAGAUGAGAGAAUCUUAUUGGUGAAAACCCUCGUAGUCACCAUAAGGCGAUGUGAGUUGAGAGAAAUAAAAAUGAGAGAGUCUCAUUGGUGAAAGCCCUUAUGGGCACCAUGUGAUGAAGUCAAGGCAAGAAGCAACAAUUCAAAAAAGGGGCAAUUGGCGGAAAUCCGUUCAGAACACCGUAAGGCAAGCGAAGCUAAGGUUUGGUUGAAGGAAUUGAGUUAGAAAUGGUCGCAACAACAAAAGCAUGGUAACAAAAGGCCGAUCAUCAGGAUAGACUGGGUUGACUAGGCCGAAGUGCAUGUUAUGAUCAUGAAAGACCAGGUGCUCUUUCUCAGAUAAGUUUCCUUUCUUUUCCGUUCAACAGUCAGUGAAUGUGAAAUUCUUUACCCUAAAUACAGUUCUGAGUCAUUGCAUCUCAUUUUUCUUUCAAGUCUCUAAAGUAUUUUUUUAAGAAAAUGGGAGAAAUUUCAAAGCCUAUUAUCAGCUCCCAAAGGGACAAAGCGCAUGACGCCCAAAAACGUAACAAAGGCAGCAGAGUUUGAAGCAGCAAGGGGAGGGAUUCACAAGAGCUUCAAUGAUAAAAUCAAUGGAAGAGACAAGAGUUGGCAAAGUGAGGGAGCAUCACACAAAGAUGGGUAUGAAAAUUAAAAUCACAAAGGUUCUGGUGUCAGCGGAGCAUAACACACUGACCGGGUAAUCUCAUAAAGGAUGCAAUGAUUCUGGAAAAAAGAGUCAGAAGCGCAACACAAAGAUGGGAAAGGUCACAAGGGUUAACCGAGCAUAAUACAUUGACCAAACAGCCAUCAGAGAAGGACAAAAGAAUUCUGGAAAAAGGUCGAAAAUGCAACACAAGAUGGGGAGCAAGGUAAAGACACCAGCGUCAAAGGUCAGCCAAACAUCAUAAUCUGACCGGGAAGUCCCAGGGAAGGAUGUGAGAAUUCUAGCAAAGGGUCGGAAGUACAACACAAAGAUGAGGAACAGAGUGAAGGUCCAGGGGUCAGAGGGUCAGCCAAGCGUAAUAUAUUGACUUGGCAAUCUCGAGAAAGGUGCAAGGAUUCUGGCAAAAGUGCUAGAAAUGCAACACAAUAAUGGGGAGCAAAGUAAAGUCGUAAAGGUUCAAGGGGUCAACUGAGCAGCUCAAGAAAGUCAUCAUUAACAUGGAAAAUUGAACACAACGGAACAUGACAGAGAGCAGGCCGCUUCCAACAAGAAUGCUGCAAGCAAAGCACCACUUUUCAAACUGAAAAGUUAUCUUCGAUUGACACAGGGCAGAGAAAUUCUAGAAGAGCCUAAAGGGGGCCAUCCACAGGGGAAGGCCGGCACAUGGCAGGUCUGACCAAAAAAUCAUGGCAUAUAGUCUGUCACAAAUGUUCUCCCCAACAAGAGUAUAUUGGGAUAAACUUUAACUAGCAAACCCCAACAGAAACAAUUGAGGGCAAAAGAGGCAUGUAAUGGAACACAGUUUAAAACUCAAACAUGUGCGAGUAAUAUGGGCAAGCACCAACACCUUCCCCCAGUAAGAGUCGUCGAAAUCCUCCUGGUCAAUGAUCAAUAGCAGAAACAACCAGAAGUUAGAAUUGGCAUUUAAUCUGUAACCCUCAGGACCCUCUUAGAGAAUGGGACUUAUUUGAAGGUUAGAGGCAAUUAUGGACAGCAAAGAGCAUAAUGUGAUUUGUAUGUUGAAAGAGGAUUCAAUUAGAGGUUGUCAGGACCCUCCUGAAAAAUGGGACUUAGCCUAGAAUACAAACAGUAGGGUGGCAUGGUCAAACCCAAAUACUUCCCCAACAAGAGUCAUCAGGAUCCGCCUGGAUAAUGNNNNNNNNNNNNNNNNNNNNNNNNNNNNNNNNNNNNNNNNNNNNNNNNNNNNNNNNNNNNNNNNNNNNNNNNNNNNNNNNNNNNNNNNNNNNNNNNNNNNNNNNNNNNNNNNNNNNNNNNNNNNNNNNNNNNNNNNNNNNNNNNNNNNNNNNNNNNNNNNNNNNNNNNNNNNNNNNNNNNNNNNNNNNNNNNNNNNNNNNNNNNNNNNNNNNNNNNNNNNNNNNNNNNNNNNNNNNNNNNNNNNNNNNNNNNNNNNNNNNNNNNNNNNNNNNNNNNNNNNNNNNNNNNNNNNNNNNNNNNNNNNNNNNNNNNNNNNNNNNNNNNNNNNNNNNNNNNNNNNNNNNNNNNNNNNNNNNNNNNNNNNNNNNNNNNNNNNNNNNNNNNNNNNNNNNNNNNNNNNNNNNNNNNNNNNNNNNNNNNNNNNNNNNNNNNNNNNNNNNGGAUAAUUGGACGUAGUUCUAAAUGCUAAACCCAGACACAUUUUGUCAUCAAAGUAAGAGUUAUCAGGACCCGCCUGGAUAAUGGGAAGUAGUUCUAAUCACCAGUCACCAACAGAUCCCCAGCAGAUAUAACUCAUAACAAGACAUAGUUGAAAACAAUACCUUUUGAAAAACAUAACAUAAUCUUAAAGUUGUUAUUAGUUAAAAAAUUGUCAGGACCCUCCUGCAUAAUGGGACUUAGCUUUAGAGAUAUUUGAUAAGGAGAUUUGAUUAACACCCACAGAUCCGCCAAGCAUCAAACUGGGGAAGAAAGGAUUUCUUAUGUUUUGUUUUUUAUUUGUUGUGAUCAAGUACACAUGCAGCAGUCUUACGGAAUAUUUUUCAAGUUUCAAAUUUCGGUAAUCAGGCGUCCACCUGUCAGAACAAGGGAAUAUUUUUCAAGUUUUAAAUUUUGGUAAUUAGGAGCCCACCUAUUAGAACAAGGGAAUUAUUUUCAAAAUUCAAGUAAUGGUAAUUAGGCGCCCACCUGUCAGAACAAGGGAAUAUUUUUCAAGUUUCAAAUUUCGGUAAUCAAACGCCCACCUAUUAGAGCAAGGGAAUACUUUUCAAGUUUCAAAUUUUGGUAAUCAGGCGCCCACCUGACAGAAUAAGGGAAUAUUUUUCAAGUUUCAAAUUUGGUAGUCAGGCGCCCACCUGUCAGAACAAGGGAAUACUUUUCAAGUUUUAAAUUUUGGUAAUCAGGCGCCCACUUGUUAGAACAAGGGAGUAUUUUUCAAAGUUGCAAGUUUUGGUAGUCAGGUGCCCACCUGUCAAAACAAGGGAAUACUUUUCUAGUUUCAAAUUUUGGAAAUUAGGCGCCCACCUAUUAGAACAAGGGAAUACUUUUCAAGCUUAAAAUUUCGGUAAUCAGGCACCCACCUAUCAGAACAAGGGAAUACUUUACAAGUUUCAAAUUUUGAUAAUCAGGCGCCCUCCUGUUAGAACAAGGGAAUAUUUUUCAAAGUUGCAAGUUUUGGUAAUCAGUCGCCCACCUGCCGGAACAAGGAAAUACUUUUCAACUUUCAAAUUUUGAUAAUCAGGUGUCCACCUGUCAAAACAAGAGAAUAUUUUUUAAGUUUCAAAUUUUGGUAAUCAGGCACCCACCUAUUAGAACAAGGGAACAUUUUCCAAGAUUCAAGUCGCGAUAAUCAGGUGCCCACCUGUCAAAUUAAGGGAAUAUUUUUCAAGAUUCAAGUUUUAGGCGCCCACCUGCAGAACAAGGGAAUACAUUUCAAGUCCAGCGAUUCGGCGUCAGACAUAGAAUAAGAGAACAAGAAGUCAGCAAGGCAGAGCAAGAUUGAAGAUGUAGAUAGGUUUUUUUGUAAUCCAUGGUUCAUAGCUUAGUUUAGCUUCUUCAUUUUUCACAAGGUGUAAUAAGGAGAUCUAGCAGUAGUAGCAGCAACAACAGCGAAAUUACAGCUUCGGUAGUCCUAGCUACUAAACCCUGUAGAACUACACUAACUUGAUUUCUUUGUAGCCAAGGAUAUGUAGGCAACCUUUGAAGCAGGGUUCGGUCAGACAUUUUUCAAAAUGCUUCUCACGGAAUGCCAAGCAGGAAAAAAUCUCUCGGUUUCUCAUUUAUCUUUGCCCAGAAACCCUUCGUGUCUCCAAGCAAAGAGGGGCAGCUGUGAGCACGUAAUUUUUGCCUCGCUCGAAAUAUUUCUUUAGAAUUCUUAAAAUUAUGAUUUUCUAUUAUUAUUUGAGUUUUCAGGAAUUAAUUGCGUGAUUUUGUGUUUAUUUGCAUUUUUUGUUCAUUUUAAAUUUGAUAUCAUUCAUGGAAAUACAAAAAUAGUAUAUUUGCAUUUAGGACUUAGUUUUUACAUUUUUAGGUUUAUUAGGUAAUUAAUGUUGAAAAAAAAAUUAAAACAAACUAACAAAAAGGGUCACUUUUACAUUUGUUUAGUUUUCUUUUUAAAUUUGGGAUUUAGUUUAUUUUUAGAAGUUAAUUAGUUUGCGUGUAGAAUUUAAAUUGGGUUUUGCCUAUUUUUAUUUUUUACUUUACUUGUUAAAAUCUGGAAAAAAAAAAAGAGAAAUUAUUAAAAAAAAAAGGAUUAAGUAAAAAAAGAAUAAAACAAAUAAUUUCUUUUAGUCUUAUUAGGAGACUUGAAUUGGGUCACUGUACACCUAAAUAUCCAGCCGAAACCCCUCAAGCCAACCUAUUAACCCACCCCAAACUCGGUACAAAUGGGCGACGCUUGAAACAACGUUGUUUCUGCACGAUCAAUCAGGGUCGUUGAUGAUGACAUUUGAUCAAUGGAUAUGAAUUCCCUAGGUUUUAAAUAUAUAGGUGUCAGAUUCCCCCCUCCACCCCUCCAAACCCUCUCUCAAACACCCCUGAAUACACCAGUGUACCACCGCUAUAUACCCUUUGUCCUCCACCAUCCACCAGCGGCCAGUCUCCAAUAAGCCCUAAAUUAACACUCUUUUCUCCACUUCUCCUCCUCUUUCCAACCCUCUAAACAACAACCCUCGAAUAUUAACCAAUCGUCUUGAAUAUUAGUACAAAUAUUCGACUGGUCUGCCGUCCACGGCGGCGAUGGCUCAAACGGCCACCAAUAAUACACCACAUGUUCUCCUUUCCAUCCUCUACCCAGAUCUGAACCAUGUCUUCCUCGAAUCUCCUUUGAACUUGUCAAAUAACUUAAAAUAUAGUCAUCGUCUCCACCGCCCACGGUGGUCUUACCUCUAAGCCCUCCUAGAUUUACACCCCUACACCUCCUCGACCUCCUCUUCCCAUUUCUAUGACUCCCUUGGCUCGAAUACCACCCAAUCAUCUUGAAUCUACAUUCAAACGACGACUGCUCUGCAGUCCAUGGCGGCGUCGGUGCCCAAACAACCUCAAAUCAUCACCCAACAACCCUUGAAUUUACCUCAUCCAAAUCCAUAUCAUAUUCCCUUCAAAUAGCCCUAGGAUUGGCCGAACAUCAUGCCAAAACGUUGACCCGAUCGAUGCAUGGUGGAUUCAAUACAUUUUCUGAUUGAAAAAAAAAAGCUAAGUGUUCUGUUUAAUGUACUCUUGACUACUUGUUCAUUUUAUUUUCUUGAAAUCGAUUCUAGUUUAUGUAUUUCAUCUCUUCAUGAUAUGCUCCUUCUUUCCUGCCUUUCUCCUUUGUUUCUUUGGUCUGACUGCGCAAAUUGAUAGUUGUGUUAUGAGAUUAAUUAAAACCAGUACGCUUCUUCUUUUGCUUUCAAUCUUAUUUUGUUCUUUUCUGUUUUCUGUGAUUGUUUUUAGUUUAAUUUUGCUCUGAUUUGGGUGAUCGUGCUUACUCUGGUUGUUAGUUUAAUUUUGGCAUUUGUUUCAUCGAUUUUGAUUUCCUAGUAGUUUGUAAUUUUGUUACUAGUUUGGCUCUUAUUAGUUCUUUUCUGUGUUUUUUUAUAUAUAAUUUUGUUCUGAUUUGGUUGAUCCUGUUUAUUUUAAUUGUUAGUUUAAUUUUGGCAUUUGUUGCAUUGAUUUUAACCUACUAGUAGUCUCUUAUUCUGUUACUAGUUUGGCCCCUAUUAGUUCUUUUAAUAUCAUAUGAAUAAGGAUUCGUGGAGUUUGGAUAUAAUCAAUUUAAUAAAGGUAAAGGGGGUCAGCUCAUAUAGUUUGGGUAAUUUCAGGGGUAGUACAGGUAUUGUGAGUUAGGGAAUCUGGCAUUCAACUGAUUUGGAAGCCCCUAGAACAUUCUAGGAGAGGUUCUAAUCAGAUUUUUGAGAUAAGAAUGUUAUAAAUUGGCCAUCAAGUUAAGAAAUCAUGGACUAAGUGAAUAAAUCUGAAAAUAAAAGGGGACUAAUGGGUAAACACAAAAUAAGAAGGUUGCCCUAAGCUUUGGCUAUAAAAGGUCACCCUAAUGAUUCAUUGACAAGUUCCUAGCAGAUUGAAAUCCUUGAAAACCUUCCCAAGACUUCUGAACUCUAAAAAUCAUUAAAAAAUUCCUUAAAAUUUCCAAGAAAUCCUCAAAGAUUCCUAGGGUCUAACAUUUCACAAAACAUUGAUUCAUUGGAGUGUUUUCUUCAUAAUUAGUUCCAAUUCUCAACAAUCAGUUUGAAUUGCUAACUUGAAUAAGCUGGAAAUGACCUAAAAUAUAUGUGUUUGAGGUGUUAAGAUUUCAUAAGCUUAGGUGGAUUUAAUUCUGAGUAUAUUUGGAUUACGUUUGAGGUUUUUAGGUUGGCUCGCUGGUGUUAUUUGCUAUAGAUCAUUGUUCUGGUUUAUUUGACAACUUCUCCUAUCAAACUCUGGGUUUCUAAUGCUGGUUCACUGUUGUAUCUGUUGAUUGGUUUGCUAUUGCUAUUGCCUCUGAUUUGACUACUCAUAUGUGUCAUUUUUUGCUUCAUUCCAGGUGCAUGUUUUGAGCUCUUUCACUAUAUAUCUCAAAUGAAGGUUGAGCGACAAUGAUGCCUUGUUUUGUAAUAGGUUUAGGUUUUGCUUUGUAGUAAUUUAUUGACAAUGAUGCCUUGUUUUGUAAUAGGUUUAGGUUUUGCUUUGUAGUAAUUGAUUGUAAAUAACAUGGACUGCACUGGACUUUUAAAACUAUAAUGAAUUGGUAUUUUUUUAGAGGUUUUCUUUAACCUAUUUCAUACAUGCUAAUUUUAACGUUCCAAGUAGGUCAAGGGCUCAUGAAUCCUUGUAGCUAAUGUGGAGUACAGUUUUUCACUACAAACGACUUGAUUCAAUUUGUAUGUUGAAUCAUAAAUUUAAUAGUGGUAGUUUAAUUUGAAAGCUGGAUUAAUGAGACCUCACCUUUGACUUAAUAAAUCGUUAAGUUUAAUGAUAGUGCACCUGUGAGGUCUGUGGGCAAAAAGUUUAGUAUUGCUUAUGUGUAAUGGAUUAAAAUUGAUAUUUGUCUUACUUCAGUAGCCUGAAAUUUGGAGUCAAGUUUUUAUGUAAGUUCAUAUAUAUGCUCAGCCCAAGUUCGAAAACAUUUUAGUGAUUAAUUUCAUUUCAAAAUCAGAAGUUAUGUGUCUGAGCUUCAGGUUUUAAUGAAAAUACUAGUUGUUCGUAUUAAUUCCUCAAAUUUUAUAAGUAUUAGAUGAAGUCGAGUAAUCAGUAGCCUGUUUUGAUUAAACAAACGUGUAUUUUAUUUAUCAAAGUUUUGGAAAUAAAGUUAUGCAAGCUUAUAAUCUAAUUAAGGUCAUGUUUGGAUUGGAUCCAUUGAAGGAUCUGGGGUCAACAGCCCAUCGUCGAGUAAGCUAGGCUUCAGAUCUAGCCCAGGGCUGAUUCUAAUCCACUGCUCGUUUGGGCCUAGGCGAGACUGGACAAUUUUGCAAAGUUGGAGAGGGAUUCCAUGUCUCCGGGCUUAUAUUGAAGCCCAAUGAUUUUUAAUAGAAAACAUAGUCCCUUUUAGGAUAUCCUGACCCUCUUUAAAUGUGUAUUAAAUAUCUAGACUCCGGUACGUGCCAUUUAGCAAAUUCCAUGGCCUCCCGCAAAGUUAAUAAUACGCUAGUUGCUUUAGGUGCGUUAGUUUAAUAAUAGUACCUUCCUAAAUUCGGGUGCACAUUUACGUGACCUAAAUCCAAAUCCCAACGAAGUUGAAACGUGUCAAAAACCAGAGUUGCAUUUAUGUGACGUGGUUCGAGACAUGUUUUAUCGAUAUUGCAAUUCUCUUUAAAAAUAAAAGUAGUUAAAAGAUUCAAAAUGCACAUAAGUUCAUAAUAGUAUAAAAUCAGAUAAUUUAAGCCAAAUAUAAUAGUUGAGCGACCGAGCUAGAACCACGAAACUCGGGAAUGCCUAACACCUUCUCCCGGGUUAACAUAAUUCCUUACUCGGAUUUCUGGUUCGCAGACUAUUAAACAAAGUCAUUCUUUCCUCGAUUCGGGAUUUAAACCAACGACUUGGACACCAUUAAUUAUCCCAAGUGUCAACUCUGAAAUCUCUUAAACGGUUGGAUCCCGUUUCGAUUUUCCUUUAAUUGAAAAAACUCCCUUAUCUACGCCUUUCGCGGGGUUGUAGUGCAAAAAAGAGGUGUGACACGGGGUACAAUCAAAUCUUAAUUGCUCAGAGGAUCAAGAGAAGACAACUUUUAUUUGUCUGUGUUGUACAUUCACUUUCUCUCGGAUGUCGUUUGGAUUGUGUAAUGCUCCGGCGACCUUCCAACAAUGCAUGACGGCUAUAUUCACCGACAUGGUGGAAGAUAUAUUGGAAGUUUUUAUGGAUGAUUCACUGUGGUUGGGGAUUCCUUUGAAUAAUGUUUGAGUAAUUUGGAUAGAGUUUUGGCCCGGUAUGAAGACACAAACCAUGUACUCAAUUAGGAAAAAUGCCAUUUCAUGGUAGAAGUGGGUUUAGUGUUGGGUCACGAAAUUUCAAAGUAAGGAAUUGAAGUUGGCAAAGCCAAGAGAUAGGUAAUUUCAAGACUUCCUCCUACUUCUGUCAAAGGGGUGAGGAUUUUUCUUGGGCAUGGGGGUAUUUACCGAAGGUUUAUAAAAGAUUUUUAAAAAGUGGUACACCUCUUGUGCAAGUUGUUAGAAUAGGAUGCAAAGUUUGUGUUCGAUGAAGGAUGUAUGCAAGCAUUCAAGCAUCUCAAGCUUAAGUUGACCAGUAACCUUAUCAUUACCAGACCAAAUUGGAGCUUUCAUUUCGAGCUCAUGUGUGACGCAACUGACGUUGCAGUUGGGGCUGUUUUGGGUCAAAGGAUAAACAAGUUUUUUAAUCCCGUUUACUAUGCAAGAAAGACCAUGAAUUAGGCUCAAAUGAACUAUUACAAUCACCAAGAAAGAGUUGUUGGCUAUAGUGUUUGCUAUGGAAAAGUUUCAACCAUAUCUUAUGGGGGAAAGGUUAUAGUGUACAUCGAUCAUGUUGCCCUUAGGUAUUUGAUGACAAAGAAAAAUUAAAGGCAAUAUUGAUGAGAUAGGUGCUACUUCUCCAAGAGAUUGAUCUAGACAUUGUGGACCGUAAAGUGGUAAAAAUCAAAUGGUGGACCACUUGUCCCGUUUGGAGGAGGUUGGGAGGCCUUGUGAUGGCCUUGAGAUCAAUGAUUCAUUUCCCGACAAGUAACUCCUUCCGGUGUCAAUGAAUGAUAUGAGGUGGUUUGCCGAUGUUGCCAAUUACCUUGUUACUAGAAUAAUCCCGUAUGAGCUCUCUUCUAACCAAAUGAAGAAGCUCAAGUGGGAUACUUUGGAUUUCUAUCGGGAUGAACCAUACUUGUCCAAGAUUUGCACAGACGGUGUGAUUCGUAGAUGUGUCCCGGAGGAAGAACAAUUGAGUAUCAUUGAGGCUUGUCUUUCCUCUCUCUAUGGUGGCUAUCAUGGCGGGGCAAGGACAACUUCAAAAGUUCUUAGUUGUGGAUUCUAUUGGCCAACCUUGUUCAAAGAUGGGGGUGAUUUUGUGAAGAGGUGUGACGAGUUCCAAAGAGCGGGUGGAAUUUCAAAAAGGGAGUAAUCCCUCUUACUACCAUUCUUGAAGUGUAUAUCUUUGAUGUUUGGGGCAUAGAUUUCAUUGAUCCAUUUCUUAUCUCUUGUGGGAACACUUAUAUUCUUGUGGCGGUUAAUUAUAUCUCAGAGUGGGUUGAAGUCGUGGCUUUUCCUGACAAUGAAGCCCGGAUUAUUGUUUUAUUUCUUAAAAAGAACAUUUUCACAAGGUUUUGCACACCUCGUGCGAUUAUUAGUGAUGGGGGGUCUCAUUUUUGCAAUGAAGAUUUUGCCACAUUGCUUUCCAAGUACGGUGUCAAUCACAAGGUUUCUACCCCCUACCAUCCUCAAGCUAGUGGUCAAGUGGAAGUCUCAAAUAGGGAAAUCAAGAAGAAAAAAAUCACGAAAAAGUCUAGAAAUAGCUUGAAGACCCGAUUCAUAAGAUCCAUGAAAGCUGUCGGGGCGUUGGUUAGCUCAAAAGACAUGACCAAGAAUUCAAAGUGACCAUAGCGAGUUCUGAAAGCAGUCUUAGGAAUAUCCUGCUCUCUGAUCUUUAAUUGGUGAUACCCGAAUCGUAGAUCAAUUUUGGAGAAGAACCUUGCACCUUGCAAUUGGUCGAAAGAAUCAUCUAUCAGAGGAAAAGGAUAUUUAUUCUUGAUGGUGACUUUGUUGAGCUGCCAAUAAUCAAUACACAUCUGGAGCGACCCAUCCUUCUUUCUGACAAAAAGAACUGGAGCACCCCAUGGCGACAUACUCGGCCGAAUGAACCCCUUUUUCUAAUAAAUCCUUCAGCUGCUCCUUUAACUCCCUUAACUCCGCUGGCACCAUUCUGUAUGGUGGAAAACAUAUCGGUUGCAUAUCCAGCAAUACAUCAAUCUCGAAAUGAAUCUCCCUAUAUGGCAAAAUCCCUAGAAGCUCAUCCGGAAACACUUCAAGAAACUCAUUCACGACUGGCACGGAUUCGAACACAGACACUUCUAAAUUGGUAUCCGCCACUCAGACCAGUUGAUAGAUAUGCCCUUCUUAAUUAUCUUCGAAGCCUUAAUGUAAGAAAUAGACCUACCCUUCGGCACUACACCAUUUCCCUUCCACUCAAUAAGCGGCUCAUUAGGGAACUUGAGUCUCAUGACCCUCGUUCAGCAGUCAAGUUUAGCAAAGCAUGAAUAAAUCCAAUCCAUUCCCAUAAUCACAUCAAAAUCCACCAUUCCAAGCUCAAUAAGAUAGGUCAAAGUAACAUGACCACAUACCGUGACAACAUAAGCUAUAAACUCGCACGACUGUAAUAGAAUCACUGACCGGAGUUGAUACAGAGAAGGGCUCAUAAAGAUAUUCGGGUUCUAUCCCAAAACUUGGAGUAAUAAAUGGGGUUACAUAAGACAAAGAGGACCCCGGAUCAAUAAGAGCAUAACAAUCACUGGCCUGAACAGAUAAGAUACCUGUAACAACAUCUGGAGAAGCCUCUACACUCUGGCGACCACUCAAAGCAUAAAACCAGCUGGGUCCGACUCUAUGACAAGCUCCAUCCCUAACUACACCAUGCCAUGCUGGAGCUAGAGGACACACGAAUGAUGGGGCAGCUAAAGAAUUGGAUGACUGAGCAAAUCCCCUACAUAUGCCCUGACUGGGCGCACGAUAGUCCCGCUGGAUAUGACCUCUCAGGGGGCAUCUAUAGCAUACUGGGAUAUCCAAAUAACAAGUCUCAGAAUGGAACCUCCCACACUUGGGGCACGGAGCUCUCCCCUACUGCUGUAAUUUCCCUCCUGGACGAUCGGAUUGAUGGGGUCUCCCACUGCCUGGACCUGGCCUCAAGUGACUACCCUGCUGAUAACUAUACAUAGAUGCAGUGCCCUCGCUGAAGACUGUGCAUAUGACUGGGAUGUCCCUGAUGGCCCUCUCCCCUAAACUGGUCUCCCUUAGAGACCCACCGAUCGGGCCCUGCUGCUACUCUCCCUUUCCGCCCAUAUCUUUAACUUUCUAGCCUUUUUGUCCUGAGCGAAUCCCACACUCUUUCCAUAAUUCAUAUCCAAGUGUAAGGCCGUUAUAGCAGCCUCAAUCACCACCAAAGGACUAAUACCUUGAACGAAUCGCCGAACUCGAGAACCCAUGGUCGACACUAACUGAGGAGCAUACUUGGACAAUCUCACAAACUCCAUGGGGUACUCCCAAACACUCAUACUGCCCUUCUUGAGGACCUCAAACCCAGUGGCACAGGCUACCAUUGUCUACGCGAGCAAGUGGUCCAUAAUUGCAUCUACAAACUCAUCCCAUUUAGCCGGAGGACUUUCCUCCCCACGGGAAUCCUCCCACAUCCUGAACCACGAAUAUGCUACUCUCUCAACCUGUAUGAAUACAAUCAACUCCCUCUAUCUCUGUAGCCUUCAUCACUCAAAGGGUCUUAUACAUUUCAUCAAGGAAAUCCUGCGAAUCGGCCUCUGGGUUUGUGCCUGUGAACUCUGGAGGGGCCAAUCGCAGAAACUGGUUAACUCUGGUGCUGGCGGAAUCUCCUUGUUCGCCGGAGGACGUAGGGGCAUCAUGAGAUCUCUAGGCCAGAGCGGCCACUAACUGGGUCAACAUAUGGAUGGCUCCUCUAAGGUCCCCAUCAGAAACCCCGGGACCAGAGGCUGGAACUGCAUCAGGGUCAGGAAUAUCGGUGGGAAGGCUGGUAGUACCCUCUACCACAACAGGAACAGGAAUACUUUGAUCUGGAAUAGAUGGGCAGGUAGAUUCAAGAACGGGGAGCCACUCUCAUCCACGGUACCAAGUACAUGGUUCAUAGCCACACUUGGGGUGGCAUUGGCCCAAAGGCCGAGUCUAGCUCUCUUCUUAGGUACUGUUACUGAAAAUUUCGAAACAUGUCACGAGUUAGGAAUAAAUACUUUCACUUUUCACUUCACCGCACGAUAUAGAAUAACAAAGAGGAGGGUGAUUUCCUAAAUUUCCAUGUAGCCCCCACAUAUAAAUAUGGUCGGCAACACACCGAUAAUAAAGGCUCUACUAGACACGGCUCUAAGACAUCCUAGGACUCUUUUAAAGCCUUAGGCUCUGAUACCAAGAUUAACAUGCCCCAAAACCGAGGGACAUGGCCAGCGCUCGACCGGGUAGCCCCAGACAAGCGGACCUAGGUGUCUUUCCGCUCAUUAUUCAAGUGAAAUAGCCAUUUAUAAUUAAACACAUUCUUAAGAGUUAUACAUAACGUGGAUGUAAUCUACAAGGUACACUGUCCAGAUACAUAGAUACAUAAUUACAUAACCCAUGUUUCCUGUCUACGGAGCCUCUAGGGAUACAAAAGAGUUUUAAUAUACUUACUGGUAACAAGGCUCCGGCUAUACCUUGCACAAAUAACAAAAUAAGACUCUCUGAAGAAAAGCGGUAUGAGCCACGAAGGUCCCCGAGAGGAAAGGGACUCACUAAUACAGUUGACGGAAAGUGGAGGAGUUGCUACUAUCGGUGGAAUAGAGUACCUACUAUAGAACCACCUACAAUCAUAACAAGAAUGUAGCGCCCCGACAAAAAGGAAGUCAGUACAUUUGAAUUGUACUGGUAUGCAUGAACAAACUUCACCCCAAGUAAAAUCAAUCAAUACACAGAUAACCAACAGUAAUAGAAUCAACAAUCAAAUGCACAUAAAAGGAACAACCAAAGCCAACAAGUUUCAUAAUCUCUUCUUUCCCCUUUCAACAUCAUUUCAUACUCAAGAGUUUCAUAUAUUUUCAUUUCAAUAGUGAUUAUUAUCCAUUUUCAACCCUUAUUACCUCGGCCACCCUUAUUACCUCGGCCAUUCUUAUCACCACAAUCGACACCUUAUAACUUCGUGUUGCGGUGCGCAAACCCGAUCCCACCGGACAAUCACAUCUCACCCAACAAUAAUAGUUCACAGUUCAAUCACAUGACUUCAAGUCAUUCAGAAUAUCAUUUCAUAACAAUAAUAACAAUUCAGAAAGAGUUUUUCAUCAAUAUCAAUUACGAUUUUUUCCCAUUAUUUAUUACACCGCCCUUACCACAUGAAUACAUUCACAGACACCCUUGGUUUGUUGCCAUUUGUUUACACCAUCAUAUCAAGACGUUUAACCAACAAUGUUCAAGACAUAUUAAUCACAAGAAUUCAACAAAUAGGCCAUCAUGCCUUACACCCGUGAAACAACAAAAAUUCACAAAUAGUCCACAUAAGCAACACAUACCACUAAUUUGUAUACCAAACAGGGUGACUUCACAAAAUUUAAAGUUAGCCAUACAUACCCGGAGUCGAAUUUCUCUUUUAACUCCUACUCUCAAUUCACCAACUACCUAGUACCGCCAAUCUAGUUCACAAGUUAAUACAUGUAUCUUAGAAUUGAAAUUUACAAAUACAACCCGAACCCACUAAGAUUAUCAACCCCUCUUUUUUGCACACUUUUACUCCUACCCAAUUCCUCUUACUAGAUUUGAGGUAUUAAAGAAGAUGCAUGUAUGUUUCAACUUAUAUUCUCAAGAAUCUAUUCAUGAGAACACCCUUUUUUGUUUAAAUCUGAAAACCAAUAAAAAAGGGUUGGGGAUUUUACCUGCAAGAAUGAAGGAGAAGUUAAUUACUGGAAAUCUUUUGGUCUGGGCGACAUUGAAAACUCAAACUGAUAGAGAUGGUACUUUCUCUCUCAAGAACCCUCUAUUCCCUCUCUCUAGUUUUGUUCAGAAAAUAUGUUAAAAUGAAGGGUUGGAGUGUUUUAUUAAGAAGGGGUAGGGUUGAAAAAUUAGAAAAAUAGGAGCCCCGACGCGAAAUGCAGUCAGGAAUGCGAUCGCAUUCCUGACAUGCGGUCCGCAGACCGAUCGCAGAAUGGCCCUCAAAAAUGGGCCAAAAUUGAAACACUUUGUUUCAGGUAUACGACCAUUAUGCGGUCUGCAUACACGUUAUGCAAUCGCAUAGUGCAUCCAAAACCUCCCUCACCAAAAGUCAAUGGGCAAAAAUGCAAUAAAUAUGCGGUCCGCGUAACCAAAAUAUGAUCACAUUCUGGACCGAUAAUUGUCCUCCAAUUGGGUAGUGGCCUGCUAGGUAUGCGACUACUAUGUGAUCCGCAUACUCAUUAUGCAAUUGCAUAGUGCGUCGCAUAACGCCUAAUUUCUAGAAAAUUUUAUCUUUCAAAUUUCGGGGUACUUUUCUAUUGUUAUAACUUAUAACAACACAAGGACCUACCCGACAUUAUUUUAGAAAAAUAUUUUUAUGGGUCUUUACAGAAAAGUCAAAAUCACGAACCAUUUGAUUUUAUAAAAACUUAACUUGUGAAUCUAUAACACAUCCAAAACAAAAAAUUUAAUGUCAUAAGGAUAGUUCUAGAUAAUAGUUCGAAAUUAAUAUUAAAUCUCAUGCGGCGAUGAUUUCAGAUUUGUGUAGUCUCACCAAAACUUCUGUAUCUUGAUGUAAGAAUGUCAAAAUCACGAACUAUUUGAUCUAUUGGAAACAUAACUUCCAAAUUCAUAACAUAUCCAAAAUGUAAAAUUUAAUACCUUAAAAAUAGUUUCAGAUAAUAUUUCAAAAUAAAUACUAAAUUCUGAGACACUGACAAUUUCAGAUUUGCACAACUUUGUCAAAAGUUUUGUACCUUGAAGUAGGGACAUCAAAAUCACAAACCGCUUGAUUUCUUGGAAAUUAAACUUCAAAAUCUAAAACAUAUAAAAAUUAAUGCCUUAAGGAUAAUUUCAUAUGAUAGUUCGAAGUCAACUUUGGUUUCUGAUAUGGCGACAGUUCCAAAUUAGCGCGACUUCACCAAAAUUAUUGUAUCUUGGUGUGCAAGCCUUAAGGUUUUAAGAAAUUAUUAAUUGUCGGAAAUUAAAAUACAAGAGCUUCAUUCUCACCAAAUGCUCAAGUCUCACUGAAUUUUAAACGUCGUGAAGGUACAUGAAAAAAUACUUGAAUAUUUGGCCAACAUAAAAGCAUAGCAAAUCCCCGGACUUCAAUGCAAAUCCUUGGAACCUCCUAAAAGAUAUUAAUAAUUUCAUUAAAGACACCAAUUUACCAUAUCGGCUAGCCUCCUUUAAAUCAAACGGAAUCCAAAGUUUAACAUAAGAAUGUUGCCACAACUCGAUUUUCAAGUGUUGAUUGAAUGGAUUACAUUGCAUCGUACUUCAUUUGGAGAACGAAUGAGGGAUUAUGUAUCUUGUGAACUUAUGCGACUAAACUUAGAAUGAAACUCUAAGUUGCCUCUGUACCUGAGUGAAGAGGAUCAAGUCAUACCGUAGUUCAGAACAGGUAAUGUUUUUUGUUUUUUAUGUACUAACUUUUCCUAGGCCACCUCUUUUGAGGUUUUUAACCUAGCGGACUUUUUUUUAUUUUGUGUGGGCCGUACACAGUUUAGACUCAUGCGGGCCAAGAGUGUAGCAACAUGCAAUUUAGGUUCAUGCAUCAAGUAGCAUCAUGACUUGCAGUUUAGGAUCAUAUGUCGAAGAAUAUGGUACUAUCAAGGAUAAUACUUCUUCGAAAACAUGCAAUUGAUAGGGUCGAAUCUCAUGUCAUCUGCAUCAAUCGGCUUGUAAACCCCACUUGAGUAAGCUUCUUGUACGACAUAUAGCCAAUCCCAUUUUGAAUUAAACUUUCCUAUAAUUUUAUGAGAAGUAAUAAUGGGUCUUCUUAUGGCAAUGAGUUGAUCUCCUACUUCAGAGGAUCUCAGCCGAACUAUUUUAUUGAAGGCGUGAGACAAUCGAACUUGAUAACAUUCAAGACUCUAUUGAGCUUCCAACCUCUUCUCAUCAAGAGCCUCCAACUCUGAUAAUCUAAGUCGAGCAUUUUCUUCAUUAGUGAUCCCUUAUUUAAUAGCCAGUUGUAAUGAAGGUAUUUGAAAAUCGAGUGGCAAGAUGGCUUCGACUCCUUAAACGAGUGAAAAAUGAGUCAUUUGUGAUGGCAUGCGGCGAGUCAUCCUAUAUGCCCAUAAAGGUUCUUCCAUGCGGUCAUUCCAAUCUCGUUUGGAUUUGGAAAUGACUUUCUUUAACAAGUUGCAUAGAGUUUUGAUGAGUGCCUUAGCUAGACCAUUGGCGGUAGUAUUGUAUAUUGAAGAGUUACAUUCUUGAAGCCAAAGAGAUCAAAAUUUUUGUUCAUAAACCUAUUUCUAAUGACUUUCUAUUAUCCGUUAUUAUGUAAUGAGAAUUGCCAAAGCAAUAGAUUAUGUUUACUGGAUGAAACUUGCAACAUUUUACUUAUUUAGCUCCUUAAGAGCAACAACUUCCGCCUAUUUUGAGAAGUAGUCAGUAGAAGCAAAGAUGUACAGGUGCUCACCAGAGGACUUUGGUAGUGGUCCAACAACAUCCAAUCCCCAAGCGUCAAAUGUCCAGGAUGUAACAGUUGGGUGCAACACUUCAGGAGGUUGAUGAAAAAAAUUUGCAUGGUAUUUACAAGACUUUCAUCUUCGAAUGUAGUCCAAGCAAUCUUUUACCAUUGUUGGCCAAUAAUAUCUUAUCCUUUUUAUAUGGAAGUGAAGCUUUGGUCCAAACUGGUGUGACUCAUAUAACCCAGAAUGUGACUCUUGCAAAACUUGGAGUGCUUAUUCUUUCCCUAAGCAUCAAAAGAGUACUCCAGCCUUCGUAUCCUCGAAUUUCUGGAAGUGAGGUGCAUGACGACAGAUUUCAGUCCUUCUCCUCGGAUUUUCCGAAAGUAUCACAUAGCAUAGUAGUUGAUUAUGGCUUAUCACCAUUCUUUUUUUCAACUUCAGAAAUAUCGACAAGAUGCUUGAGUUCAUUUUCUUCACCUUUAGCCUUAUUAGCGGGGGUACUAUCCAUUUUUGAUACAGUAACUUGUGCUAGAUCAGGCAGGGUUAACGAUAAAGCUAGGGCAGCUAAAGCAUCAACCAUCUUAUUUUCUUUCCUUGGCACAUGCUAAAUAGUCGCAUCACCGAGCCACCCCAUUAAUUUUUUAGCGUAAUCAUGAUAUAGGCGUAGUUCAGGAUUCUUGACCUCGUAACUAUCUAAAAAUUGAUUGACCACUAACUAGGAGUCACCAUAGACUUGAAAUUGCAAUUGCUUCAUAUCAACGACCAUUUUAAGCCCAUGUAUUAAUGUUUUAUACUCAACAACCACUACAAAAAACUUGACUUUCAACAACUAAGUCUUAACUAAGGGAUAGAGAUUUGGUCGUAAUAAGUAUAUUUUUAACGACACAAUCUUUUUCCGGUCGUGGAUUGCCAAUUUCCAGUGUGGGGACAUUAUAAAGUUUAAAUCCAGUCACAAUUAGCAAAAAUUUAAGGCACUAAUUGUUCCCUCUUUAUUUUUCACAACCCAUGUCUCUCAGCUCGCCACUUCCACCCCCUCCCCCUCCCUCCCAACAAAAAAAGGAAAACACUAACCUUUCCUCUGUUUUGAUCGCAAAACAACAACAACAACUACCCAGUAUAGUCUCACAACAUUGGGUUUGGGGAGGGUAAUAUGUAGACGGGCCUUACCCCUACUCGAAAGGGCAGAGAGGCUGUCUCCGAUCGCAAAACACAUUCAAAGAUAUGUUAAAAAUAAUUUCAGCCUUAUCUCGUUUCUCCUCACCAUCACCUACUUAUCUACUGGUCUGAUUGUUGUCACAUGUGAUUGAUAAAGAAAAUGCAUCAUUUUUAGAGUUCUCUUCUCAUCAAUAUAAGUUUCUGCUUUUGCAACCAUUAGUUGCACUUUUAUAACUAUCAAUUGGGAAUUUUCUUCUCAUCAAUAUAAGUUUCUGCCGUCGUAACUAUUAAUUGCACUUUUGUAACUAUUAAUUGCAGUUGUAGAAUGUUGAAUUUUCCAUAGUCAUGCGUUUACACUGUAUAUAUAUUUCAAUCUAAGGUUCUUUUGCUUGUUAUGGUAUCUGUAAAUUUAAUUUUGGACAAAUAUUUAUAGCUACUCUGUUUACAUAUUUUUGGUACUAUGUUGUAUGUACUGAUGUGAGCACAUUAUUUAGUAGGUUUUUUUGAAGUUAAAAAGAGGUGGGAUGAUGCUGAUUAUUGAAUACACUCGUUAAUCUGAUAAUUUGUGAUGAUUAUACUCUAUCCAUUUUCAGCCAUUGAUUUGAAAUUGAGUUUUACUGCUCCGUCAUUAUAAGUAUUUUCAGUUUGGAUGGGUAAAAAAUCAUAGUUUUCUUUGAUAAAACAAGCUAUUUGUUGUCGUACUAGGUGAAUCCUAAACUGACUUGAAGAAAAGUCCUAAUGUCUUUUCUGACUUUUGACCUAUCGUUUCCUACGUAAGAAAUAGGAGAAGUGAAAAUUUGAAGAGAAACCACUUUCGUUUUUAAUUCAUACUUUCAUCACACUAUCUUUUUCAGAAAAAUAGUAUUUUAUAAUUUUUUCUGUGAUUAAGAUUCUGAAAUUGUUAAACACGAGUGUGCCAACACAAUUAUCAUAAGAUGAAGUAAAAGGUGCAUUAUGUGACUAAGUGUGAAUUGCCAAAUUUACAUUACAUGUUAUAGUAGUUAAAUAUAAGCUUGAAGACAUCGAAGCCUGAAGUCUAUUCUAUAUAGAUACUGAAUAAGUUUUCCUUGUUGCUACCUGAGAUGUAUUAAUUGAAAGUUAGAAACAUGUUGAUUCGAUGAUUUAGCAAUAUCUUUUAUAUUUUGAAAAGAAAAUGUAGACCUUUAUAAAUUGUGUUAGUAAUUAAUUUUGCUAAGGUUUUGUACUUCACUUAUUCAAUAAAUAUUUUUGCAAAAAGACAUUAUUUGUAUUCUAGAGAAUGUGAUUUUAAUUUGAAGGAUAAUUUUAGAUUCUAUUUUGACGAGUGUGAAAGCAUUGGUAACGAAAAGGAUUAUUUGAACAUUUAGAUUCUUUAAUUCACUUUGUAACUAGAAUUUGUUAAUACAUUCUUGUGUUUGUUUUUCUACUUGAUAAUAUUUCCUGAUAAUUCAUAUUCAACAAUAAUACAAAUAAGAGCAGACACAUUUCUCUGUUUUUUAAUUUUGAAAAUCGUCCAAUAUUGUGGGACUAUCUGGUAGAUGUAAGUUAUUGAUGGCGACCUUUAUUAGAUAUUCAUUGUUUUGCAUCUUUUGUAUGACUGAGCACUAAAUUAUCGAGGUCUCCUUUUUUUUUUUAGUAGUUUAUUCUUUAUUGUUAUACUGACAUAGAAUUAUUCUUUUAUCAGAUCAAGGAUUUGAAACUUUGAAUAUCCUUCCCUUGAAGGAAGUAUAGAGCAAGUUGAAGUACACUAUGUUUUUAUUUUGCUAGGGAUGAUUUAAAGAUAGUACCUUGUGUACAUUUGCUAUAAUUUUGUUUUCUUUUUAGGAGUUGAUAAAAAUGAUGUCAACCAAUGUGGAUACAUAUAUUUUCUAGUAGUGUGAUGCUUUAGUCCGAUGUACUAACAAUGAGAUUUUUGUUAUUAUUGAUUAUUUGAUUUAUAUAUGGAUGUGUCUAUAUGUGUGUAUAAUCAUAUGAAAUAAUUAAUUAUUAGAAUUUGGUAAUAUAUAUUUUUAAUUACAUAUUUCACAUUAACGAAGUAAAAUUUGGCCUUUAAAAGUAUCGUUCGGAAGUAACACACAAGUAACGAAGGGAGUUUUGGCCGUUAAAAACACUUGCAUUGGCAGAUUUAGUUGUUCGUCAUUAAUGCUUUUAAUGACAUGAUGAUUAAGUAGCAAAGGGAAAAGUUUGUCAUUAUAAAGCAAAUAUAACGACCUGAAUUUAUGUCGUCGUUAAAGAAUCUAUAACAGCCGGAUUGAGAUCCGGUCAUUAACUUUUAACGUCAAGGCUUUUAACGACCGGUGAUGAUGGUAUUUUUUUCGGUCAUAAUUAACUUAUAAUAACCGAAUUUGGACUUUUAACGACUGAAUUUUCCCUCGCUAAAAGUCUAUUUUCUUGUAGUGAACAAUGUUGGAACAGAGUUUUGUCAAGGUGAAGGAGUAGGUGAAGACUUCACCUUGGGAAGUGACAGAUACUACGCCAGCACCAGCUCCUCCAUGAUGCACAACAUCAUCAAAGUACAUCUUCCAUGGAGGUUGAACUUAAACGACUAUUGCAUCAUCAACAGGUAGCUCGUUAGUUAACUCUAGUCAUCGGGUAUCAGAUAAUCUGCCAAGAGGUUUCUGCCAAUGCUUGUCCUUUUGCAGCCUUUUGAGGGAUGUACAAAAUAUUGAAUUAUUGAAAUUGGAGGUACCAUCUCGUUAGUCGAUCACUAAGAAUAGGUUUUGACAUCACGAACUUGAUGGGAUUUGCUUUAGAAACAAGACGGACAACAUGAGCUUGAAAGUUGUUUCAACUUUUGAAUUGAGAAGACUAGCGCCAAACACAACUUUUUAAUUCACAACAAAAAAACUCAUAUUAGCUAAGAAUGUCGUUGCUAAUCUAUAACUAAAAUGAUCGUAGCUAGCAGAAUUUCUCGAUAAUUUGUUGCUAAUUCGUAGCUAGAUGAGAUUACCAAGGGAUAUUCCUGUUUAGCUACAAAAUUUGUCUAUCACUAAAACCUGAAUUUUUAGUAGUGAUUGGCGAAUAGUUCAUCUAGUUUGGUGUCAUCACCUGCUCAAGUAGUAAAGAGAGUUUUCUUUCCCCACACUAUUUCUUCGGCCAACAGUGCUUCAACAGACCUUUCUUGAGUUACAAUGUAUAGUAUCGAUGGCUUUCCAGGUAUAUGAUCUGCUAAAACUGAAGACUUCAUCAAGUAGAUUUUGAUACAUUCAAAGGCAUUGCUACAAGCCUGGUCCCACUUUAAAGGAACGCCUUUCUUUAUGAGGCGACUAAAUGGUUGGAACCUCCUUGCUAGGUUCAAGAUGAAUCUUCUAAAGUAUGCUAGCUUUCCUUGCAGACAUUCAUGAAUAUCUCGAGGCUCAUGCAUUUUCAAAAUGGCAUCCACUUUGGUUUGAUCAAUUUCGAUCCCUCAAUGGCGUACAAUGAAACCAAGGAACUUUCAAAGUAACUCCAAAGGCAUAUUUCAAUGCAUACAUCCUAAGUUGGUACCUCUGGAGCAACUCAAAUACUACUCUCAAGUCUUUCAAGUGGUUUCCCUCUCUCUUGAUUUUACCACUAAGUCGUCAACAUAAGAUUUGACAUUCUUGUGGACAAGAUCGUCAAAAAUAUUCCACAUAGCCCUUUGGUAAGUAGCACUAGCGUUCUUCAAGCCAAAAUGCAUUACCUUGUAGCAAUAAAUACCCUUGGGGUGCGGAAUGCAGUAAGUCUUCAUCUUUUGGUUCCAUGCGAAUUUGGUUAUAUCCCGAUGAACCAUCCAUGGGAGACAUUUCCUCGUAACCAGUGGUAGCAUCGAUCAUCAACUCUAGUAUAGUAAGUGAGAAUUCAUCUUUGGGGAACACAUUGAUGAGAUCCCUGAAGUCAACAAAUACUCGAAUCUGGCCAUUCUUCUUCAUUAAAGGGACAAUACUUUAAACCCAUGUUGGGUAUUUAACUUCCCAAGUAAAUCCAGCUUCAAUGAGUUUCUUAACUUUGGUUUCAAUCAAGGGAACCAAGUCCGACAUAAAGCGCCUUUGAUUUUGCUUAAUAGGACGAGUGUUAUUCUUGACUGCAAGGUGAUGGACUGCUACCUUAGGGUCCACACCAGGCAUUUCUUUGUAACUCCAAGAAAAAACAUCCUAAACUCCUAGAGUAACUCAAUAUAAGUGAUUUCUUCAUCAACUUCUAGUAAAACACUUGGGUAGGUGGGUCCUGGUUCUUCACCAGCGCCAAGGUUAACUUCUUUUAAGGCGUCAAUCAUUGACUGCACCCUUUCUUUAGGUUUCGACGGAGCAUCUGCAUCUUCAUAUUCUUGAGAGUCCCCAUUAUUGAAGGAUAUGUGAUAAUAUGGUGAACAUCAUCCAAUUUCUCGUCAUCCUCAAUUAAAGAUGAAAUAUCGUGCUCGCCUUGUGCAUUAACAUGAUUACAAAAAACCAACACUUUCUUUGUCUUCAUCAUGUUCUUUAGUGUAGACCACAGUGUAUGGCUUCACCUUUAGAACCUCAUCACAUGAAACCAUGACUUUUGUUUGUUGCCUCAUUCUAUAAGAAACCAGACUCUGGAAAUCCUUAGAGAUAUUUUGAAUUUCGGGCAAAGUGGGUAUCCUUGUAUUUUGAUAAUUUCUCUGGAAAUUAUUCCCUUUCUUUAAAUGACCCAAUCUCUCAAACAUGGAAGUACUCACAGUUGUUCUCUAAGUCGAUCAAAGGCAUAAGGCUUGUUAGAAAGGACAUAUUUAUCUUCUACAAUGAUAUAAUUGGUGCUCGCUCUUCUUAUGGAGAUGCGCACUGGUGAUGGUUGCUUGUAUCCCAAACCUUCACGUGUUUGUAUUGUCACAAAUGUUGAUGGUAGCUUCCCUAACUUUGACAGAUCAUUAGGAUUGUGUCCAGAUUUUGCAAAUAGCCUAUAAAAUGUUAGGAUCAAAAUAUUCAUCUGUCCGCUUUAUAGGGAGUGCCAUAUUCUACAAAUGAUUUUAGGCCAAAAACCCUGCAAGCGGCAUUGAGGACUACUUUACUGCCUCAAUUCAUUUGACUGGAAGAGUUAACCCUAUUAGCAUGUUAGGUUGGAGAUUAGAUGAUUCACCUUUAUCUUUUUUUCUUUUUAGGGACGUAUUGGAGCGGAGGAGUUACUCUCUUGUCGUGAGACACAAUGUUCCCUUUAUGAGAAUUAUUUGGGUUAGGAAGUAACUUCACAGCAACAACUUUGGUUUUGUCGGCAACUACCUCAACCCUCUUAGCCAUGGGCUUGUCAUCCUUGUCAUUCAUGAUAUCAUAAAUUUUUAGCUCAUUCACUAUGCGGUUCUUCAAGUAGAACUUUGCAUCGGCGAAGUGUGACUCAGCCUCGAUGAUUGGCUCGUCAUUGGCAAUAUCUUCUUCUCGACUUCACCUUCAUAUUAUUUCAAACAUUGAUGUUAGGUAGAUGGAACUACUUUAUUCUCAUAUAUUCAAGUCCUUCCAAGCAAGGCAUUACAUGAAGUCUUUGCAUCGAUCACAUGCAGCCAUGCCCUUGAUUGCAUAUUUUAAUGGUGAUUCCCAGCCUGAUCGCGCCUAUAGCUCUUUUCCCCCAUUGGUUGAAUCUAUGGAUCAUCACAUGACUUUCUAAGAGUUUGUUCAUGGGAAUUCCAAGUUCUUUCACAAUACGAAUUGACAAAAUGUUCAUUAAGGAUUCUUUAUCAACCAAAAUUUGAUUUACCCUUUCAUCUACAUUUAGCCAACCAGGUACAAUAGGCGAUUAUGAAGAGUGUCACCUAGAAAAAGAUCGUCAUUUGUGAAUAUAAAGUUUCCCUCCCAAGCAUUAACUUCUUGAGGAGUGGACUCGGUGAGUUUCUCGAAGAUGGUGCCAAUGGUAUGUCAUUACUCUUCUUCCCAUUUGUCAACAUGGAAACAAAAGGCAUCAAUACCCCUAUGGGAAAUCUUCAUGUGGAACCAACUUGGUAAAAACUCCUCCAUGGUUACUGGAUGUCAUGGCUUUUGAGGGUGGUGCACCUCCACUUUUUCAGCAUUUUUAUGCUUAACUGGAUUUCAUAUCCUCGGUCUUUUCACCAUUAUUUUCCUUGUUGGUUGUUCCAUUUAUAAUUUUCAUAGGCUCCUUUUUUGGCGCCUGCGACAAGUAACCAACGUCCAACCUUCAUCAUAAUCAGGUUGAUCAUCUUCAACCUUGUUGUUCUUUAGUAAUUCUUCAUCUUUACUUUCUUUAAAACACAUAAUUCAUCUGGAAUGAAUGAGCCAAAGGUGAUAGAGACUUAGUUUGUGCUUGAUUUCUCAUCUUCAAGAACGAUCUUCUUUUCAUGAGCCAAGAUAAUAACUUUGUCCUUGAAGACAAAGCACUUCUCUAGGGGAUGGCUUAUAAGUAAAUGGUAUUUACAGUAAUUUGGGUCAUUCAUUUUACCAGCUUCAUUCAGUCGCUUCAUCUCCAAAAGCUCAAUAAGAUUUAACUCGAGGAGUUCUUCAAAAAGUAUUGGCAUAUCAAAAUCCAGAAAUGGAUACUCCUUCUCUUGAGUUUCAUUUAGAUCAACUUCACACUUGGUUUAUCUUGAAAAGAAGUGGAUUUCGUACUCUAAUUCUCUCUCACCUUCAUGGUGAACUUCACAGGUGAUAUGUUGACAUUCAUAGCUUCUUUGUAUUCGGACUUAAGUACAAACUUGAUCUAUUUCCUGACUUCUUCCGUGUUGUUCCCUUUGUGAGGCUCAAAGACAGGCAGUCGUUCGUUUCCAAUGGAGACCAUGCUUAACUCCUUAUGGCACGAGUCACAAGUUCUUCAAAUGUGCUAGGCUUGAUACCUUGCAAGAUGUAGCGAAGCCCCUAAUGCAUGCCUUGGUUGUAUAUCUCUAUGCCAGAAGUUUCACUAAGCCUCUCCUUGAAGUUGAGGCUCGCAUUCCUCCAUGAAUUGAUAAAGUCAAUAACUGGUUCACCCUUUCGUUGAUGAGUAUUUGUAAGUUCUAUCAUUAUCACAGUACGUCUCGUGCUAUAAAAGCAAUUGAGGAACUCUUCCUCUAGUUGAUCCCAGCUAUCAAUAGAUCCAGCCUCGAGGUCUGUGUACCAGUCAAAGGCAUUUACUUUUAGAGAGCGGAUAAACUACUUGACGAGAUAAUCUCCACAAGUCCUAACAUUGGUGCACGUCUCAACGAAGAGCGGCACAUGUUUCUUUGGAUUACCUUUCCACUAAACUGUUGAAACUUUGGAGGUUGAUAACCAGCAGGCAUCUUCAACAUAUCGACUCUUGCAGUGUACGCUUUUGCAUAUGUAAGGAAGGACUUGGUAGCAAAUUCAUACUAGUUCUUAAUGGUUCCCUCAAUGAACUAUUUCAAUUGAUCAAUUGGAAUCAUUCCUUGAGAUAAGACAGAGAUAGCCUUAGCGGAUGCUACUUGUCUUUGGGGAUAAUCACUCUUUGGAACUUCUAGGUGAUUGCUAGGUGCAUGGGUAGAUUCUUCUUC